GGGCGGCGCCGCGGCGCAGGGCGUGGGCUCCGUCAUCACGCAAUCGGUGUACGCGAGCAUGCUGCCCAACCGCGACAACUCGCAGUGCCCGGCCAGGGGGUUCUACACGUACGACGCCUUCAUCGCCGCCGCCAACACCUUCCCGGGCUUCGGCACCACCGGCAGCGCCGACGACGUCAAGCGCGAGCUCGCCGCCUUCUUCGGCCAGACCUCCCACGAGACUACCGGUACGUCAAUCAGUCAGUCAGUGUUGCUUUCGGAACUCGAUCGUGGCUGCCUUGAUUAACCGUACGUGCUUGUGCAUGGAAUGCCAACGUUGCAGGAGGGACGAGAGGCGCCGCCGACCAGUUCCAAUGGGGCUACUGCUUCAAGGAGGAGAUAAACAAGGCCACGUCUCCACCCUACUAUGGACGGGGACCCAUUCAAUUGACAGGGUGAGAAAAAUUGCAAAUUAUUAUAGCACACUUUGAAGCAUCUUCUACAUGCAAAAUAUUUCCUCUGUAUCUAAAUAAUUAUAGUUGUUGCCAUGAAAAGAACAAAGGAAGUACCGUUUCAAAAAAAUAAAAUAAAUACCACACACUGAAAUAAUCUGUAGAAAAAUCUGCUUGAAAAGUACAGCAGUGUUGACAUUCAUUUUCGCAUGCAAUCAUUCUAGUAACAACAAAGACCCGAGGCCUUGGUUGCUUUGCGGAAAAGAUUGUUCUGAUGAACCAAUAAUUCCUUGUGCGAUUGACCAGGCAGUCCAACUACGAUCUCGCCGGGAGGGCGAUCGGGAAGGACCUUGUGAGCAACCCGGACCUGGUGUCCACAGACGCGGUGGUGUCCUUCAGAACGGCCAUUUGGUUCUGGAUGACGGCGCAAGGCAACAAGCCGUCGAGCCACGACGUCGCCCUAGGCCGCUGGACGCCGACGGCUGCCGAUACAGCUGCAGGUCGGGUGCCUGGAUACGGCGUAAUCACCAAUAUCAUCAACGGCGGGCUCGAGUGCGGCAUGGGCCAGAACGACGCCAACGUCGACCGCAUCGGCUACUACACGCGCUACUGCGGCAUGCUUGGCACGGCCACCGGAGGCAACCUCGACUGCUACACCCAGCGAAACUUCGCUAGCUAGACACUAUGGAUAGUGUAUGCACGUGUUACGAAUAAAGGGCUACACUCAUGAAUAAGGGGCAACACAUAUCCCAUCAUGAAAUAAAUAAUUCGAUAUGUGAUCCAGUUGAUCGUGUCGUAUGAUAAUACGAGUAAGUUGUUGUAACAAAUUAUGUAAAUUGUUCAAUAAAAUCAUAUCAUUACAACUGGUUUUUUAAAUAUGGUACACUAAAAAUAAUCCACAUACACGAGUAUACACUCAUCUCUAUAAAGAUACGCAUGCAUAUCCUAUUCUAUCCAUAUGAGCACCUUCGAAAGACUGGCCCAACACAUCAUCUUGAUAUUGACAAAGUCAUCACAUAUACCUUCAUAGUCGACGGAAAUGUCUCUUCUCACUAAACGCACAUGGUUGAAAACCAGAAAUAAAUGAAGAAAAAUAGGAACACUAAUGUCAUGUAUGGACUUGAACUCUAGUGAAUAUACAUAUCACUCUCUUUCUAACCAUCAAAGCACAGAUUGGUAUCAUUGUUUUAUUUUGUUGUAUGUGAGAGGAUGUAUAGCAGACCAACUAACGUGACAAAUAUUUUACUUGUUUAAUCAGUUCUUCAUAACAAAAAGGAAAGAAAAGUCAGGAUUUAUGAAAUGAAUGAGGCUAACGCGUGUUUCGUUGCAUCGGUCUUCACUCGUUUUUUUAGAAAAGGAGGAUGAUCCCCGGCCUCUGCAUCUGGAAGAUGCAUGCGGUCAUUUUAUUGAUUAUUCUCGAGGACCUUACAAAGCAGUACAACAAUAUGCCUGAAUCCGCCAUCUUGGCAACAUCUGCCGCUACUCCUAUCCAUAUGAUGAAGGGGUGCAAGCUGGACCAAAUACCCAGACCUCUCACCUAAGCCUAACAUCUAAAGCCGGAUACCCUGACCGAGCCACAUACCGGGUCCGGGGCACAAACCGGUCCGACGCACUCACAUGUGUCGUCGCCGCCAUCUUCCAUUGCUCCAUCUUCAGAUCAGAUUGAGGUACCAGCCUUGGCAGGUGCCUCCUCCAUCGACGCCAUCAUGAUGCCAAACGACGACAUCCACCAACGCGAGUCCAUCUCCAAGCAACUGACGAAGAUCCAUGCUAGGAUAGGGCCGCAUCACCGCCGUCGCCCACCACCCACAAGCGCCACCCAGCCCCAAGGUUCCCAAAGCGACGCCUUCAAGAAGGGAACGGCGCCGUGAGCGCCGCCGCCGCCCAACAAAGUUAGGGCUUUCGCCGGGAGACCUAGGGGAAGGGGAAGUGAGGGGAUCAGUCCAUACCAACGCCUCCAAGGAGGGGAACGACGCCCUCGGGCGUCGCCGUCGACGCGGCCGGCCAUGGCCGACCAGGGAUUUCGCCCGACCUAGAUCCCCACCACCAGCAGCACCUCCUGUACAAAACCGGCAAUCCAAGGAAGCGCGGCCCGACCAGGCUGGCCCACACGCCGAACAGGGAAGGAGGGGAGGCGCUAGAUCGCGCGCACCGGCCACCGCAAAAGCCGCCACCAGACGUCAGCGACCACCGGAUCCCGCCGCCCGCGUGGCCGAGACGCCGGAUCCACCUCCCGCACGGCUGCUAGCCUACCGUGCCUCGCCAAUGAAGCCGCCGUUCCAGAUCCGGAACUCCACAUGCAGAGGCAGGGUAACCUAGGCCCCGCCGCCACCAUCCUUGGCGCCCCGGGCUUGCCCGGCGGCUGCCUCAGGCGGCGGCGAGGAAGGGAUGGGGAGGGGGAGGCGGCUAGGGUUGGGAUGGAGGGAGCGUGGGAUUAACUUUAUAUAUAUAUCAGUUUACUGCAGACAGUUGUUUGAUUUUGGCUUUAUCAGUUGUCUUGAGUUUUAGUUAUAUUUUGGUGGUGGUUUUUUCCUUUCAUAUAUUUUGUUGGCUUUUGUUGAAAAUGAUUUUUUUAGAUGAGAUUAGAGUUGUUCGAUGUGGGGUUUUGGGGUCUUCAAACCUUUCGGCCUUGGAGUCAGCCGAGGAUGGUUUCAUGAGCCCUUUGGGAGCUCUCAUUCCAUACUAAAAUUGUAGAAUCGCUCCUAAGAGCAUCUCUAAUAGGGCAGCCUCUUUUCAAUUAUAGGGCAGGCAAAAUCGAGAUAUAGGACAGCAAAACAACAGUCGUUUUACCAGCAGCCCAAGAUAGGGCAGCACCCGCCCCAGCAGCCACUACUAAGAAAAGGGCUAUAGAUGAUAUAGAUAUUAAUGCCGCACCACACAAGCCGUGCGCCACUACUAUAUAAUAAUGGCGUACCAUGUGAGGUGUGCCAUUAGUGUGGUGGAUAUUAAUGGCGCACCACACUCUCGGUGCGCCACUACUAUAUAUAUAUAUAUAUAUAUUUUUGCAAAACUACUAAUGGUGCACCAGCACCUGGUGCGCCAUUAGUAACCUGGUUACUAAUGGCACAUAUGUUAGUAGUGCGCCACUACUAUAAAAAAAAUUGGUUUUUUUUUGCAAACUACAAAUGGCGCACCAAAGCUAGUGCGUCAUUAGUAAGCAGUGUUACUAAUGGCGCAUCUAUUGGUGGUGCACCACUACUAUUUUUUUUACAGAACUACUAAUGGUGCACCAGAGGAGGUGCGUCAUUAGUAACCAGGGUUACUAAUGGCGCAUAUGUAGGUGGUGCGCCAUUAGUAACCUGGGACCAGCUAGAUAUUUUGGACAACCACCUACCACACUCACUUUCCCCACUUUCAUUCUCUCCACCUCCUCCUCCAAGCUUGUCUCAGGUGCCUCCUCCUCCUCACCUCAUUUGCAUCAUAGAUUCACCCAAAUUAAGUGGUUAAAUUACCUUUUUUUGAUAGGUAAGUAAGGGGAAAGCUUUUAUGUUGUAGAUCUACUUUUUUCUCCCUCCAACAACGUGCACAUGCACUUUUUAUGGCCUAGCUAGAUCUACGUAUGUUUGUUGUGUUGCAUAUGUUUGUGGUGUUGCAUAUUUGUUUGUGUUUGCAGGUACCGGUAUUUGAAAUGCGAUAGUUGCCAAUAUUUUCCCGGAAUGUUGAUUCAUUUCCGUUUCGGUGAGAAUUUGGCACUAUGCAUUCUUUUUUGUCCUAUUUUUAGGCAAAGUCAUGCCAAAAAAAAAUUUUGGUUAUAAAAUAUCAUUUUGCUUUACCCCGCACGCGACCAUGGUCCGCACGAUGACCGAAGGCAUCGUGAAUAGGUUUUUGAGCUCCGCGAAGGCCGAGAUGCUUCAAAAGAACGAGACGAAGAUAAGAUGUCCGUGUCGAAGAUGCAAGCUGAAGAGCCUUAUGGACCCGGAUUCCGUAAAGGUGCGGGACCACCUGCUCUUGCGUGGUUUCAUGGAUGGCUAUCGGUGGCAAGGUGAUGAAGAUGAUUAUGAAGUCGUCCAUGGGGGCCGGGAAAGAAAUGAGGAAGGGCAUGAGCAAGACAACCGCGGCGAGGGCGGGCGAGAAGACGAAGAAUCUCCAGGACACAGUCAUCAUGUAGAAGAUGCCGGACAUGAUGAUGAGGAAGAUGCCGGAGCAGACGAAGGGCAUGAUCAUGAAGAUGAAGAUGCCGGAGCAGACGACGAUGGACCAUCCAUGCCCUGGGUGCAGGACCCUCAUAUUCAAGAGCUGCUUCUCAAGCAGACGGAUAACGCAAGAGCUGCCGCCCGAGAGAAAGCCAAGCUGGAUCAACUUGAGAUAGACGCGGUUACUCCAUUGUAUGAAGGAUGCAGGCCCGAGGAUACCCGCCUGAAAGUAAUGCUCAUGGCUCUGGAGAUGAAGGUAAAACACAAAAUGACCGACGCAUGCUUCGACGAGAACAUGUCAUUCUGGCACGAACGUCUUCCCAAGGGGAACAACUGCCCGACCAGUUUCGAGGAGGCAAAGAAAAUCGUGUGUCCUCUGGAUUUACCGCACGUGAAAUACCAUGUGUGCAUGAACAAUUGCAUCAUUUAUCGGGACGAGCACGCGGAGUCUACCAUAUGUCCGGUGUGCAGCGUCAGUCGAUACAAGAAGAGGAAGAAAGCUCCUCAAAAAGUGGUGUGGUACUUUCAUAUCACUCCUCGUCUGCAACGGUAUUUCGCGGACCCUAAGGUAGCAAAGCUCCUGCGUUGGCACGCGGAUAGGGAGGAGAAAAAGCGAGAAGAUGACGGAAAUGAUCCGGAGAUAAAUAAAAAAGACAAGAUGCUGAGUCACCCUAAGGAUGCGAGCCAGUGGCAAGCGUUGAACUACGAAUACCCAGAAUUUGGGGACGAUCCAGGGAACAUCGUGCUGGGCGCGAGCACCGAUGGAGUCAAUCCGUUUGGCAGCCAGAAAAUCACACAUAGCACCUGGCCUGUGUUUGUGUGGAUGUACAACCUUCCCCCUGGUUGUGCACGAAGAGGAAGUACAUUCACAUGAGUAUGCUAAUUGAAGGGCCUAAACAACCAGGGAACGACAUCAAUCUAUAUCUGGGGCUGUUGAAAGAGGAGCUAGACACGCUGUGGAAAACGCGAGCCAAUACGUGGGACGCCGCAGAGAAAGAAUAUUUCCCUAUGAGAGCCGCACUGCUCCCGACGGUGCACGACUAUCUCGGUUAUGGAUAUGUCGCGGGGCAGGUGGUCCACGGGUUUUCUGGAUGCGUCAGGUGCAUGGAUGACACAAUGUAUCGCCAGCUAGAUAGAGAUCCCGGGUCUUCAAAAACCGUGUUCAUGGGACCUCGAAGGUGGCUUCGCAACGAUGACACAUGGAGAAAACGCAAGGAUCUGUUCGAUGGUGAAACCGAACCCCGAAGACGCCCCCUUAUGAGGAGCGGCGAGGAAAUAUACGAGCUGUUGAAAAAUUGGAAAAAGUGCCCACCGCCGGGAAAGGCGCUAGAGCCGGGAAAGAAGCGAAAGGCGCUAGAGCCGCUCCUGAAGGUAUGGAAAACGAGGUCUGUUUUCUGGGACUUGCCGUACUGGAAGAUCCUCCGUGUGCCUCACAGCCUUGAUGUCAUGCAUAUCAUGAAGAACGUGUGCAAGAGUCUGCUUGGUACCCUGCUCAACAUGCCAGAGAGGACCAAAGAUGGACCGAAAGCAAGGGCAGACUUGAAAUCAAUGGGCAUCAGGGAGGAGCUUCAUGCUAAUAAUGAUGAUGAUGAUGAUGAUGAGGCGAAGCAGGACACGGAAAGUCGUCGCAAAGGCAAAAAGUACAAGAAGACCGGAAAUGACUUUCCUCCCGCGUGCUUCACUCUAAGUCAGGAGGAGAUCGAUCAGUUUUUCACCUGCCUCAUAGGAGUAAAACUUCCUUACGGUUACGCGGGGAAGAUAAGCAGAUACCUAGACUCAGCGAAGCAGAAGUUUAGCGGGAUGAAGUAUCACAACUGUCACGUGCUGAUGACGCAGAUACUUCCAGUUGCAAUCCGUGGGAUCAUGGACGCGCACGUCCGUGAAAUGCUUUUUGACCUAUGCAACUUUUUCGACGUCAUCUCUCGGAAGUCGGUUGGCGUGAGGCAACUCAGAAGGCUACAGGAAGAGAUCGUGGUGAUACUAUGCGAGCUUGAGAUGUACUUCCCGCCCGCAUUCUUCGACGUUAUGGUGCAUCUGCUGGUCCAUAUCGUGGAGGAUAUCAUCCAACUCGGGCCGACGUUCCUGCACAUCAUGAUGCCGUUCGAAAGGAUGAAUGGUGUCAUCAAAGGAUACGUCCGCAACAUGUCACGUCCAGAGGGAAGCAUAGCCAGGGGCUUUCUGACCGAAGAGUGCAUCUCCUACUGCACGAAUUAUCUAGGCAUCGAGAACCUCGUUGGUCUGCCCGUCAACAGGCACCUCGGCAGGCUCGCAGGAUGGGGUCACCGUGAGGGUCGCCGCGAAAUGCAUGUCGACUUCGAGGGUCGACUCGCCGACUUUGAAAGAGCAAACCUAGUCGCGCUACAACACAUAGACGUGGUCGAUCCUUGGGUCGUAGAGCACAAAACCUUUAUUGAAAAGACGUACAAUGACCGAGGCCAACAGAGGACGGACGGAGAUAUAAUCAAAGAGCACAACUCAUGUUUAACGCGUUGGUUCAAGCAGAAGCUUUUGUCGUAGCCUUUACAUGAGGAUUCUUCCGCGGAAGAACAACUCAUAUUCGCCUUGUCACAGGGCGCCGAGCACAACCUGAUGAUGUAUGAGGCGUACGAUACCAACAGCUACACAUUCUACACCGAGGGAAAGGACAUGAAGAGCGAUGGUUAUCAGAACUCCGGGGUAACGAUGGAAUCCUACACCGGUAACGACAAGGACAGAUACUACGGAAGGAUCGAGGAGAUCUGGGAGCUGAGCUGCGCUGGAGAGAAGGUCCCGAUGUUCCGUGUCAGAUGGGCCAAGAGCGUCAUAAAAGAAGACCGGUAUUUCACCACCAUGGUUAUACCCGAAGCCAAAUCCAAGACCGCGGGCGCAAAAGUCACCGCGAAAAAUGAGCCAUGGGUACUGGCUUCCCAAGUGGACCAAUGCUUCUUCAUUACCGACCCGCCAAAGCCCAGUCGUGUUGUCGUGAGGAGAGGCAAAAGGAAGAUCAUCGGAAUGGAUGGAGUCGCCAAUGAGCAAGACUUCGACAAGUACGGCGACCCGAAGAUGGAACAUGACGACGAUGAUGAAGUACCAGCAUACACCACAAGAAGAAGCAGGACCACCCUACCUAAAGGACGUCCGUUCAAGAGAAGAACUCCAUUUACGAAAAAUAAGGGCAAGAAGAUUGUGAACAAAUAGCUAGCUAAGAUCGAUUAUAUUUAAAUUUGAUGAUAUUUUUUCAUAUUCAAUAUGAAAAAAUAUUGAAUAUUCAUGAGGACACUCGAUCUCGAUCCCCUCCAUCUCGAUCGCUAUCACCCCUCGCAAGAUCCCCCUCGCCGCCGAGCACCCCCCGCACCCUCCCCCGCUCCACCACCGUCGCCGUCGGCAUACUUACCACUAGAACACCUAUUCAGAAGAUACUAGGCACUUCUCAAAAAAAUACUAGGCACUUCUCAAACCAAGGUGCAACCAGCACAAGAAAACAAUGCAAAAAAAAUAAAAAUACUAGGCACUAGAUGUUGUUGUGAGGCACUAGAUAUUCAUAGGCAUCUAAUUGCAAACAUAAAAAAAAAUACUAGACAUCUACUUGCAAACAUAAAAAAAUUUACUAGGCACUUCUCAAACCAAGGUGCAACCAGCACAAGAAAACAAUGCAUAGAAAAAAAGGAAAAAAGAGAGGGGGGAAGAGGAUUCGAACCCGCAACCUCCUGCUAGGAGGCAAAACCCACGGACCACUGUGCUGCUACUUCGGAGGUUAACAACAUAGAGAAGGCGCACCUCAUAUACAUGCGCCAUUACUACAUAAAAAAACAUUCUAAUGGCGCACCGCUCGGGGUGCGCCAUUCCUAAGCCGGGCCGCGCCCUCCUCUCUUCUCCCGCGGCCUCCCCCUACCCCUUUCCACCAAACAGCAGCUCCCCCACCUUCGUCCACGCAGCCCACGGAGCUCUGGCGGCGCUAGGGUUUUCUCCGCCUCUGCCUCCGCCUCAGAUAGCCGAGGUGCGAAAUAUUAUCAGCCCCAACACACUCAAGAAGGUGGUCUCUGAGCAGAUGAACUGGAUCCCAUUACAUCAGCAGAAGAAGGGAUGAAAAAGAAAGACUAACAAGGGUGCGAGCCAGCCGGCACUGAGUACGAUCCGUGCUCUGGACGGGCCACCUUCACCUAAGGAUAUCUCGAGGAGGGUGCAUGUGGCGGGUAGGCCGAUGCUACCGACUAAUCUACUCAAUGCUGCAACUGGUGCUAUGCGGAGUCUGCAUGACAGUGUUCUUUGUUUGGAGAAGCGGCGUCUCUCCGAGAAUAAUGUGGCAUACCCGGUUUUCGUGGCCAAGGUGCCAGAGGGCAAGGGCUUUGUCGAUAGGCCAUCGGGGGUAUGAUCGUCCUGCGGUUUGUUGACAUCUUCGCUAUGUUUAACCUUCAUCCGCUGCACUACACCUUCGUUCGGCUAUUUUCGCUGAGUAUGGAGAUGCGGAUCAUUAGAGACAAGACCCCGAACCUAGUGAUAGUCGACCCCUUCUAUAUGCGUGCCAAGAUCUUGGGCAGCGCUGGGGACCGGCAAGUCACGAGUUCAUACCUCGAAGGCGUCAUUCUGGCAAACUCAGAAAAGGAUAACUUCCUCGUGCCUUACUUUCCCUGGUAAGUUAUCCCCUCAUCGCCACGUAACAUAUGAUUUCUUAGAUUUUGAUCGUCCUUUUUUUCUAACAUUCCGUGUUUUGUGCAGUGACACACGUUGCACACUCAUCCUCUUAAGUCUGAAAUAUUCCACGGCCACGUAUUUCGACUCGGACCGUCAGUCAAAAAAAGACUACACAAAUAUCAAGAAAGUUCUUGAUGAAGCUCUUCCCGGCUAUGCCAUAUCUGGAGGCACCUUCAGCAGGACAAGUCUCAGGCACGGCAAGCACGUGUUCACCCACAAUACGACGUUCGCCUGCGUCAAGCAGCCGCCUGGCAGUCAGAAGGAUGCCUACUACGCCCUCCAUCACAUGCGGGCGAUCAUACGGGAUAGUAAUCACCUUCGGCUACCAAAUAAUCUCAAAUAUUGGGCCGCACACUUGUCGGCAAUCCAGGAUGCGGACAUCAGACAAGAAUUCUUUCGCAUCCAGUCGGAGUUUGCAGAAAUCAUCCAUCAAGAUGUCCUUCGUACCUCGGGGCAGUUCUACCUCAGAUCUCCGCUGUCCUAUACUGAGAUAGAUACAAUGCUACAAAUGCAGGCUGACAACGACCGCAAUUUCAUGACCAUCACGAAAGAUGGCGGCUUCAUCCACGUUCCCGUGAAUCGCUACUAAUUCAUGUUGCAAUAUUAAACUUUAAUGAACUGGUAUGUCUCUUUGGUUUGGACAGUCGUUCAACUUAUAUAUAAUCGAUGCUAUUUAUUAGUAGGACCAUGAAUCGUGCUGUUAUAGUUGUAAUAUUAAACUUUAAUGAACUUGUAUGUCUCUGUGAAUUGCUACUAACGUUUUGUUUGGCUAGUGCAUAGAGAUGCCGUCGUAUGUCGUGUACAAGGGUAAGGUUCCCGGAGUCUACGACGACUGGGAGGAGUGUCGGAGACAGGUUCACCGAUUCAGCGGUAACAGUUACAAUGGGUACACCACAAGGGCGGAGGCGGAAGUUAGAUACGCGCGCUAUCUACGGGAGAGAGGAGGGAGCGUUGGAGGAACCGGAUGAAGACCAGUUUCAUUGCGAUUAUGCUCAUCGUGAUGACCGCAUCUCUCUUCUAUAUGUGAUGGUAGUUUAGAUGGUCGAUAUAUCAACUUGUAAUGUGAAGACAAAUUCGCUGCUCGCGGUCUCGAGACUUGUAGUAUUCUAACUUUUUUCGGUAUUUUAAAUUCGGAGACUAAUAUGAUGAAUUGUAUUCGGAGACUAAUCUUCUAUUGUAUUCGAUAAAUCUGUUGUUUAUAUGUUGUGCUAUCCAUAUUCUGUGCAAUAAUAUAUUUUGUAAUAUGUGCAAAUAUCAGAAAAAAUAAAAUAAAUACCUAAUAUUCAUACUAGUGACGCAUCACUCAGCACACUAGUGCGCCAUUAGUAAGCGAGAGCAUAUGGGUAAAUAUGGCCCUGGGAGGCAUACUAAUGGCGCACCACAAGCUAUACUAAUGGCGCACCAGGAUAUAUACUAAUGGCGCACCAGUAUCUAUACUAAUGGCGCACCGUGAGCAAUACUAAUGGCGCACCGUGAGCAAUACUAAUGGCGCACCGUGAGCAAUACUAAUGACGCACCGUGAGCAAUACUAAUGGCGCACUACCUGGUGCGUCAUUAGUAUACCAGAUACUAAUGGCGCACUUGUAAUGCGCCAUUAGUAAAAAAAUCUAAUGGCGUGAUGCUAGUGGCGCACCUAUAGUGCGCCAUUAGUAGCAAAAAAUGGUGCGCCAUUAGAAGGCCUUUUCCUAGUAGUGAGCUGCCCUCCAUGCUUGGGCUUCUUCCUCUUGUGCAAAAGCAAAAUCAAAGCAAUGUCUUCUUCAUCCUCCAAAUCGUAUUCCCCAUCGGAUGAAUCCUCAAUCAAAACCAUCUACAAACAAACUAGACCGUAUUAAAAAGUGUAAUCCUAAACUACAAACACAAAAAGCAAACAAAAAGUUGAAUACACAUUACCUCGAACACCUUGCGGGCGGCCGAACCGGUGGGUGGCAGCUGCGUCGCCGGAGCAAGCCUCUCCUAGUUGCUGCUGCCGUCGCUGGGUGUUGCAGGCGGCCAAGGGGAAGCAUAAGAGCGUCGUCGGGGUCGCGGCGGCGGCAUAAUCGGCGUCGGUGCCCCGGAUUCGUACAGCGGCGGCGGCGGCGGCAGAUCAACAAUUUAGGGCACUAAACCUCUUGCCUACUUGGGCAGCGGUAUUCCGACGACGAUGGGCAGCGGUAUUCCGGCAGGGGCGAGGUGCGGGAGGGACCGGCGGUGGACGGGCAGCGGAUUUUGGGCAGGGGCGCGGCCUACGGGCGGCGGAUUUGCGGCGGCGGCGGCGGAUUUGCACCGGCGGGGUCGAGGGCGGGAGAGGCUGGGAAAUUUUCGGGUGGCAGUUCGGCUGCGCGCGCGCGUCGUUGGGAAAAUAGGGCAGCCACACAAGUGUUGUAUAUUUGCAACAGUUGGACCAAAUUUAGGGCAGUGUUGUAAAAAAUAUAGGGCAGUUGAUGAAGAUAGGGCAGCUGUUGGAGCACGUUUUUGCCUCUUUUCUGCCCUAUAUGACAGUUUUUAUGCCCCACUGCCCUAUAUAGGGCAGCUGUUAGAGAUGCUCUAACACUCACAUAUGACGGUCACUAAACCUCUUGCCCACUUAGGUUGGCUCCCUGCUCAGCUUGCUCGUUUAGCUUUUUUUUCAGCUCGCUCGACUACUAGCUUAGAAAAAAAUACUGUCCUUUUUCUUAUUUAAAAAUGUUCUCUCUUCUGCUUCUUUCCCACGCCCCCUUGCAACCCUGUUCUUUCUUCUUCUUCUUCCCCAAGAAGAAAACAACGACCCUGUCAUGGAGAAAUCCUCAUUGAGACCGGCGGUGAGAGUGCUAAGCAUGAGCUCGUCGGAGAUUUUGGUGUCGAUGUCGCGAAGCUCAUCGGCGAGCAUCUUGAGCCGCAUGCAAUAGUCAACGAUGGUGGAGUCAUCCUGGUGGCACCUGAAGAGCUCUUGUUGCAAGAAAACAAGACACUGAAGCUUGUUAUCGGUGAAGAGCGCAUUGAUCUUGGUCCACACGGUGCAAGUAUCGUCGUCAUCGGUGACGACCGUGUGGAAGAUGUCCUUCAAGAUGGUUUGGUAGAACCACCGAAUGAGAGUGACCUCGAUGGCGGACCACUCCGGGACGCCCUUCAUGUACUCAGCGUCGACGAAGCCAUCUAUGUGUUCGGUGAGGUAGUACUCGCGGAAGACAAGGUUGAAGUAGGUCUUCCACGCGUAGUACGAGGAGGUGGAGGAGUCGAGGCGGAUGGGAACACGGGCAUCGAUGUUGAUGUCGCGGAUGGCUUCGACGAAGGGUGCAGGGCCGGCGAAGGGGUUGGUGCUGGAGGUGGCCGGCGAAUUCAUGGGGCCGGCUGCGGGGGAGAGAUGGCGAGCGGCGGCGGCGGCUCGGGUGGGAGAGGGGUAGCGGAAGCGAUGAGGCGUGCGGCAGCGGCGGCGGCUGCGAUAGGGUUUAGGUUAGGAACUUUUAGGAUGAUACCAUGUAGAGAGAGAUAUGUUUGGCAAUGCAACUCAUAAUAUUGAUUGAAUAUGCACAGAUAUACAGAAUACAAUAUGAACCUCUAUCUCAACUAUACAAAGGCUAGGAGAUAGACCAAACUAUGUACAUAUACACAUGCCCGACCCUAGGGGGGGGGGGGAGGNNNNNNNNNNNNNNNNNNNNNNNNNNNNNNNNNNNNNNNNNNNNNNNNNNNNNNNNNNNNNNNNNNNNNNNNNNNNNNNNNNNNNNNNNNNNNNNNNNNNNNNNNNNNNNNNNNNNNNNNNNNNNNNNNNNNNNNNNNNNNNNNNNNNNNNNNNNNNNNNNNNNNNNNNNNNNNNNNNNNNNNNNNNNNNNNNNNNNNNNNNNNNNNNNNNNNNNNNNNNNNNNNNNNNNNNNNNNNNNNNNNNNNNNNNNNNNNNNNNNNNNNNNNNNNNNNNNNNNGGGGGGGGGGGGAGGGGCGGCCGCCACGGGCCCCCGGAACCAGAGGGGCCCCCAACUCAGGUACGUGUGAGCGCCCCACCCCCAAUCUAUCGGAGACGCCACCAGAGCAGUUACAAAGUAGCUGCGGUAUGGCUCCGGGAAGAAGAAAGUCGAAACGGUAUUUCUUUUAGCUAAAUGGGCUUUGGGCCUUUGUUUCCUUUAGCUAAAUCGUGGUGUUAAGUGGUUGUGGGCUUCCUCUAAAAGAAGUAGUGGUGGGUUAUGUGUAAGAAAAAAUGAUGACGGGCCACACCAAGCUAGAGGAGGGAGAGGAGCACAUCGGUACAAAACUUAUAAAAGAAAGAAAAAAGAAGAUUGGUGAAUUCACAUGCCCACGUCUUGCCUGGUAUUACAACCCUGGCAAACUAAUAAGUUUUUCUUUUUUAUUGUAAAAUAAAUCUAUUUUUUUGCAAGUGUAGCAAACUAAUACUCUAUCUUGAUAAGAAAAAUAAACAUAUCAAAUUCAGUAUAUGUGCGGAGUCCCUAAAGAAAUGUAUCGUAGCGGAGAGACAAUAGCAACACGCACGGUGACGACGGACUGAUGACAUGAGCGUGCACUAUGGUCAUACUAUGAUAGCCAAAUAUGGAUGACUCAGUUGGUACUCUCGUCUUCAUAACUUUAUAUCAAUAAACACAAAUUGAAUUGAUUGUUCUACUUUGGUGUUAUGAAUUGAGAGUUGAUUGUUCUACUUUGGUGUUAUGAAUUGAGAGUUGAUUUUCUACUUUGGUGUGAAUAUUCAUAUGUGUCAUUUUAAUUGUUAUUUUUCUUCUUUAUAUUUUUGUAUAUAUGAACUUUUUUUUUCAUCUAUUAAGUUUUUUCAUUCAUAAAUUUAUUGUUUGCUCGGUCAUCAUGCUUGCGCGUAACUUGCCUGCAAAUGGGUAAAUGCAAUUUAGAUGAUCUUCUGUAUUCUGCUGCCUCAUUGUGACGACAAACUCUUGAUAUCAUGUGUGUCCCGGUCAGAAAUGACCCAUCACCGCCCUCAACGAGUCCUACCAAGAUGCGGUAUUGUGCACAUUAGCCCCCGCAUCGUCGUGAUCUUAUAGAACACAUGUGUCUGAUUCUCUUUCCAUAGAUAUCAUCGUUAAAGACCUUGUGUGCAAUCUUUUUGUGUGUGUGUGGUGGGGGGCUACCGGCCUUGCAUAUACAUGCAAACUACUUACUCCGUUUUUAAAUAUAAGUCUUUAAAGAGGUUUCAUGAAUGAACUACAUAUGGAUGUAUAUAGACAUAUUUUAGAGUGUAGAUUCACUUAUUUUGCUUCUAUAUGUAAACUCCUAAUGAAAUAUCUUAAAAGACUUAUAUUUAGGAACGGAGGGAGUAUAUGUUUAACAAGAUCAUUGGGCGCGGACCGCGGAGGUAGCGUAUUUCCACGAGCCAGCCGGUGACGACGAUGUAGAAGCUUCUUUCAGGGCCCCCCGUCCAUGCGCUGUGCAAGUACAAGUCUGACCGACGUGAGGCGCUGUACCAAACGAAGCGUAGCAAGUACAGCCAGAAUCAUCUGAAGCUUAGCAGCCAGCGGCCGCCGGCCGUUACCUGCAGCAUGCAUGUGACUGCACACUACGCCAAGAAGUCCGCGGCUAUAGACAACGCUCUGAAAAUAACUCUUUUGCACAGACGCGUGGAAUUCCGUGGUGGCCCGUCGGAUUUUCCCCCCGCAAAUAAAGAUCGCGCGCGCAACGUGGAACAGCUGGAUAGGGUAGCACGAGCCACGAACGGUGCAUCGUCAGCGCAUUUCCCUGCGCUGCACCCGAGCUGAGCAGCUAUAAAUUGAGCUGCAAGCCCAGCAGCUUCAUCACACAGGCGUCUUGCAUAGCUCUCCUUGCGCUAUACUACAUUUCACGAGCCGACUAGCUGAAGGUGAGUUAGCAUGGCGAGGCCUGCUGCCCUCGCGGUGUGCGCCGCCGCGCUCCUGCUCGCCGUGGCGGUGGGCGGCGCCGCGGCGCAGGGCGUGGGCUCGGUCAUCACGCGGUCGGUGUACGCGAGCAUGCUGCCCAACCGCGACAACUCGCUGUGCCCGGCCAGGGGGUUCUACACGUACGACGCCUUCAUCGCCGCAGCCAACACCUUUCCGGGCUUCGGCACCACCGGCAGCGCCGAUGACAUCAAGCGCGAGCUCGCCGCCUUCUUCGGCCAGACCUCCCACGAGACCACCGGUACGUCAGUCAGAGAGUGUUAAUUACUUGUUUUCGAUUGUUGCUUUCAACAGAAUUCGUGGAACUUUUGAUUCGGAUAUGAAGGGCUUGAUUGAAUCGUGUACGUGCUUGUGCAUGCCGUGUCGACGUGUAGGAGGGACGAGAGGCGCCGCCGACCAGUUCCAAUGGGGCUACUGCUUCAAGGAAGAGAUAAGCAAGGCCACGUCUCCACCCUACUAUGGACGGGGACCCAUCCAAUUGACAGGGUAAGCAAAAUCCCAUGUUAUGGCCUAUAUGGCUACAUGACAAUCUCUAAAGCAUCUUCCACAUGAAAAACAAGUAUAUUGGUCAACACUGAUAUCACAGACUGAAAUAAUCGGUAGAAAAAAUCUACUUGAAAAGUACAGCAGUGUAGUUGACAUUCUAGCUAGCCGCGCUAAUCCCGACCUGAUCCAAAUAAGCUUUCGCUUUCGCGUGCAAUAUACAGUUAUUAAUAACAAUAUAAAUACUACCAGGCUUCGGCGAUGAGAUUGUUCUGAUGAACCUAUAACUCUUCCUCGUGUGAUUGACCAGGCGGUCCAACUACGAUCUCGCCGGGAGAGCGAUCGGGAAGGACCUUGUGAGCAACCCGGAUCUGGUGUCCACGGACGCGGUGGUGUCCUUCAGGACGGCGAUGUGGUUCUGGAUGACGGCGCAGGGCAACAAGCCGUCGAGCCACAACGUCGCCCUACGCCGCUGGACGCCGACGGCCGCCGACACCGCUGCCGGUCGGGUUCCAGGCUACGGUGUAAUCACCAAUAUCAUCAACGGCGGGCUCGAGUGCGGCAUGGGCCGGAACGACGCCAACGUCGAUCGCAUCGGCUACUACACGCGCUACUGCGGCAUGCUCGGCACGGCCACCGGGGGCAACCUCGACUGCUACACCCAACGGAACUUCGCUAGCUAGAAGUAUCCACGUCUGACGCCCAUCACAGUGUAUGCACGUGUUACGAAUAAAUGGCAAUACCGUACAUAUGCCAUCGUGGAAUAAGGAAUUCAACAUUUCAUCUAGUUGAUGGUGUCGUGUGGUAAUACGAGAGUCGUCGUAACAGAUUAUGUAAAGUGUUCAAUAAAAUCAUGCUGUAUCAACUGUUUUGUUUUGUUGUACACAAGGCGAAUGUAUAACAGGGAGGCCGUUGUGAUAGCUGUUGUUGCAUGUCCAAACCAUUGCAUGAUUUAAAGAUUAAAAGAUAAACAUGACACAAAGGAUGUAACAUAUUUACUACUUCGAUCAAGCCAUUCUCUUUUUCCGAUAAGAGGAUAGCCGGUGUCCGCAUCACCAUGAUACACAUAAUCAUAUAAUUUGUUUAAGUAUAAACAUCUAAAAAAAUGUCUCAGUAGCAAAGAAAAAUAAAAAUGAUAGGACAAUAAAAAAGUUCUUCUCGACGCGAAUUUUUUUAGUCUGACUAAUGAAUUAGGAUUUCAUUAGCGUGAUUUACCUACCAUGAGAAAUUUGAGAGUUCCGACGAAUUUGAGAGUUCAAAUUCCGUUCGUUGUUGUGCUUAGUGCCAGCUGUCAACUGGAUCCUUUUCCUGACAACAAUCGUCAUGCCCGUAGGGGCAUUUAUGUCUUAUCAUGUUGGAUUGCCCUCGCUAUAAAUAGGCCCCCUCCCACAACCAUUAGUUGGUUGGCUGCUCCGAGAGAGAGAGAGAUCAACAAGUGUCAUCUAGAGCAACCCUUCCUUUGACAACUUUGAGAGAAUCCAAAGUGAGGAAAAACCCACAAACCAAGUGUUUCAAAGUGAUUGAGCAUCACUAAAUAAGUUGUCAUUUGUGCAACUGACACAUGCUACCUUUGAAGACUAUGUAUCUUCAAGACGGUUAGGUGUCAUGGUCUAGAGUAUCCAAGACCCAUUUUGAAUUGCCGGGUGACCAAGUCUAUGACUGAAGACUUACCACGAGUGAUUGGCCGGAUUUAAGUGACUUGAGUUUAAGGAGAAUACAGUGAAGACUUGGUGUCUUCUGGUUUCAGUUCCACGGGGCUCCAACCAGACGUACAACUGUCACGGCAGUUGGAAUUGGUAAGACAAAUCUUGUGUCUUCGGCGAGCAAUCUGGUUCUAUGUCCUCAAUGUUUUCAUUUCUUCAUUCUUACAUUGAUAAAAUUGCUUCCUGUUCUGUCAAGACUUUGUUAGGGCAUAUUUUGUUCUAAGUAGUUUUGGUGAUUGAUGACAACACCUCUGCAGACUAAUCGUGUGCAUUGAGCAUUUCAUAUAAUACUUCACAUGGCACAAGAUGUUUCGUCGCCCCUCGGUGUUGUUGGAGGACGAUGUUUCCUACGGUUCUCUUUGGUAGUGUUGAGUAGUAGGAAAGUCAUACUAUUAAGAGGGGGUCCGCGUCGGAAAGGUUUGGGUGGAAUCAACUCACACACGCGCUCAUUUUCUUUCCACCACCUUCUCUUUGCGGCAAUGGAGCACCUGCUUGGUCUAUCCUUGCAUUUGCAAAGGGUCCAGCGGUAGUACCGCUCAAGCUGAGCGGUAGUACCGCUCGCUAGCGGUAGUACCGCUCCAGAUGAGCGGUAGUACCGCUAGCUGAGCAGUAGUACCGCUCCAGUCGAGCGGUAGUACCUCUUAGGGACGGUAGUACCUCCCUCUCUGAGCGGUUGUACUUCGUCGGACUUUUUGCGAAUACUUUUCCAGUGGUGCUAGGAUCAGUAGUAGUAUUCCUACUACCGUGGCUUUGAGUCUGCCUAGCGGUAGUACCGCCCAGGUCUGGCGGUAGUACCGCUGGGGCUUGCGGUAGUACCGCUCCCUCCAGGCGGUAGUACCGCUAGGGACAGCGGUAGUACCGCUUCCCCCAAGCGGCAGUACCGCUAGGGGCGUGCUGACAGUGGGGGUAACGUUUGGACUUGUUCUCCCACUAUAUAAAGGGUUCACCUACCUCACGAACCCUACCUUUGACCCUCCAAACUCCAUUGUUGCUCCCUAAGCUCAUAUGUGCCCGAUCUCUCUCCCUAGCCAAUCAAACUUGUUGAUUUCCUAGGGAUUGGUUGAGAAGGCCAAGAUCUACACUUCCGCCAAGAGAAAAUUGAUUCCCCCACUAAUCCCUUGCGGAUCUUGUUACUCUUGGGUGUUUGAGCACCCUAGACGGUUGAGGUCACCUCGGAGCCACAUUCCAUUGUGGUGAAGCUCCGUGGUCUUGUUGGGAGCCUCCAAGCUUUGUGUGGAGAUAACCCCAACCUUGUUUGUAAAGGUUCAGUCGCCGCCUUCAAGGGCACCCAUAGUGGAAUCGCGGUACCUUGCAUUGUGUGAGGGCGUGAGGAGAAUACGGUGGCCCUAGUGGCUUAUUGGGGAGCAUUGUGCCUCCACACCGCUCCAACGGAGACGUACUUCCUGUCAAUGGGAAGGAACUUCGGUAACACAUCCUCAUCUUCAUCGGUUCCUCUUGCGGUUAUCUCUUACCUUUACAUUGUGUAUACUAUUGUUGAAGAGUAUUUCUUACUUGCUUUAGUGGUCAUAGUCGGUAGCAUCAUAUAGGUUGCUCACCUAGUUGUUAUUAUAGAGAACCUUUAUGGUGCUAACCCUAACUUGUUAAGAAAAGCUAAAAAUUGGUAGUUGCCUAUUCACCCCCCUCUAGUCAACCAUAUGGAUCCUUUCAAUUGGUAUCAGAGCCACGUAUCAGAGCCACGUCUCUUUAUUAAGGGUUUCACCACCCGAAGAGUAUGGAUGACGGUGAGGAGGGUGUCCAUGGACCACCCGAGGCCGUGGCCUUCAUUUCGGUCACAAGGGACGACUUGGAUGCGGCUAUGGCCAACCUCCGGACGACCUUGACGAACGAAUUCAAGACCAUGUUUAAAGAGUUGCUUGAGGGGAUUAAAAGUUCUCCCGAACCAGCGUUGGUGGUUAAAUCUGCCAACACGGAAUCGGAGGCAAAUUCCUCCAAGGAAGCGGCUAAAGGUAUGCAACCUUCUUCCCCUCUCGACAAUAAUGGGACUCGAACCUAUGCCUAUGUUCCACCUCCCCUGGUCUAUGGAGGACCGAUUCCUACAUUGAGUAUCAAUCAUCUUGGUCCUCUCCUAAGAUUGUUAAGGGUGAGUUUGCUAACUGGGUGUUUUGCAUUAAGUAUCAUUUGAUUCACAACUCAACAAACUUAUGGAGAAUCAUUGAGCAAGGUUACUAUCCGCAUGACCCAAGCAACCUCACUCCAAGAGAAGAAGCGGACAAUCAAUAUAAUCACCCUGCAUUAUUCAUUCUCCAGUCCGCAGUGCCUCCUGAAGAUCUUCCUCACUUACUGAAAGGACGUGGAUGUCGCCUAGAGGGNNNNNNNNNNNNNNNNNNNNNNNNNNNNNNNNNNNNNNNNNNNNNNNNNNNNNNNNNNNNNNNNNNNNNNNNNNNNNNNNNNNNNNNNNNNNNNNNNNNNNNNNNNNNNNNNNNNNNNNNNNNNNNNNNNNNNNNNNNNNNNNNNNNNNNNNNNNNNNNNNNNNNNNNNNNNNNNNNNNNNNNNNNNNNNNNNNNNNNNNNNNNNNNNNNNNNNNNNNNNNNNNNNNNNNNNNNNNNNNNNNNNNNNNNNNNNNNNNNNNNNNNNNNNNNNNNNNNNNNNNNNNNNCCUAGAGGGGGGGGGGGGCGGUCACCGAUACCCGUACAAAUUGCUCGGGGCAAUCUCCAUAACCUAAUUGGAGACCCCGACGCUUGGCCGGAGCUUUACACCACAAUAAUUGAGCUCCGAGACACCACCAAGCUUCUAGGGCGCCAAAGCAUCCAUGAAGAACAAUAUCUAGGGUACUAAGUACCAAAGAUAAUAAGCUUCUCAAACUUCACUUCCACGUAUCACCAUGGAGAACUCAAACGAUGCAACUAAUGCAAUGGUAAGGGCACACGGAGUGCCCAAGUCCUUCUCUCCCAAAUCCCACCAAAACAACUAAUUCUACGGAGGAGAAUGAGAGGAAGAACGAAGAAGAACAUGAAGAAUUCCAAGAUCUAGACCCAAGGGGUUCCCCUCACUUAGAGGAGAAAGUGAUUGGUGGAAAUGUGGAUCUAGAUCUUCUCUCUCUUUUCCCUCAAGAACUAGCAAGAAUAAUUGGAGGGAUUGAGAGUUAGAAAGCUCGAAGAAGGUCAACAAUGGCGGAAGAACACGAGCUAAAGAGAUAAGGUUUAAUGGGGAAGAGGACCCCCUUUUAUAGGUGGGGAAAAAUCCAACCGUUAAGCCUCACAACCCGCACACAGCGGUACUACCGCUCAUGGGAGCGGUACUACCGCUCGGUAGGUUCACCAACCAUGCUGAGGCCAAAAAGGAUGCAAAAAACAGUCCGACGGAGCGGUACUACCGUUCCUGGAGCUGUACUACCGCUAGGGAGCGGUAGUAAAAAAUUACUACCGCUCCGGGGGCGGUACUACCUCUUCGGGGGCGGUACUACCGCUACAGGAGCGGUACUACCGCUCGAUACUGAAACUGCUAUAACUUUCACAUGUGGACUCCAAAUUCAACGAAACCAAGUUUGUUGAAAAGAUAACGUCAUGGGCUAACACAAUCUUGAUAGAAAUAUCAAGAAGAAGCAAGUGAGAAAAGUCCCAUAAGACAAUGGUGAGAACCCUUCUUCGAAUAAGACCGGUAAAAACUCCCAACAUCGAAAACAUCAUAGAAGAUGCAUAUGGACUCCGUUUUCGAUGAACUCGAGCUUGUCAUGAAGAUGACCAUAAGCUCUAAAACUCACAAAGAGAAAUACCAAACAAGAACCAAAAAGUAUGAUGCAAGGAUGCAAAUGGUUUGAGCUCUCAACAAAUGAUAUGAUCAAGCUACUCACUUGAGAGCCCCCCUUGACAGUACGACAAUCUAUCAUAAAACAGAAAACCUACCAAGGGCAAACCUAUACCUUGCACCUCGUCCUCUUGAGCUAGAUGACGAGGAUCUUGGCUUCCUCAAGAUGGACCACCUUUCUUGCUUGCGUUGGCUUGAUGAAGACUAGUUGAUUGCUCCCCUAUACACACUAUGGGUGAGCCGCUCUUCAGCAUAUCUUCACAAGUCCAUUGCCACCAUCCUCCAUCACUUGACGUCAUCCUCCAUGGGUUGUAUGAGAUAUUACUCUUGCUUGCGUUGGCUUGAUGAAGACUAGUUGAUUGCUCCCCCAUACACACUAUGGGUGAGCCGCUCUUCAGCAUAUCUUCACAAGUCCAUUGCCACCAUCCUCCGUCACUUGACGUCAUCCUCCAUGGGUUGUAUGAGAUAUUCCUCUUGACGCAAGCCCAUGGAAACACACCUAACCCCACAUAUAAUUCUCAAUAAGACCAUGGGUUAGUACACAAAUACAUACUGGACAAUGCUUACCAUACCAUGGGAUCACUUGAUCCCUCUCAGUACAUCUUGUACGCUUUGUGUGUUGAUCAUCUUGAUUUACUCUUUGUCUGACGAUCUUGAUCAACCUUGUGUCUCCAUGACCAUUCUUUGGAUAAUACCUUGAAGACCACCUUGGUCAUCAUAUAAACUCCUUGAACCCAACAGAUGGACUUCAAGAAGUGCCUAUGGACAAAUCCUAUAAAUAUAACUUAAGGCAACCAUUAGUCCAUAGGAAUUGUCAUCAAUUACCAAAACCACAUAUGGAGAUAUAUGCUCUAACAAUCUCCCCCAUUUUGGUAAUUGAUGACAACCACUUCAAGAGAGUUUAUAUAAGUAAAUAAGCAUAACCAAGCGCACACAUACAAAGCAAUAAUGCAUGCGUGCGGGAUGUAAAUGCCUACGCAAUAAAAGCAAAACGCUCUAAACAUAUCCAAACUAAACUCUCUAAACUUCUCCCCCAUUGGCAUCGAUUGCCAAAAUGGACGAAAAGUUUAGAAAUUCAAUAUAGUAGGUGGUCCUCUAAAAAGUGUGUACUUCUCAGCAAAUGAGUGCAAAUAAAUACGCAAAUACAAUGAUAAGUAGUUGGAGGAAAACAAACUAUAUUGAGGACCCAAAUAUUGCAAAAAGAAGGAUCAUAUGGCACAAAGACAUACAAAAUAGAAGCAAGCAAUCAAAAGAUACCAUAUGGAACAAACAAACACAUGGUCCUUCGAACCACAUGAAUAAAAGAUACUAUGAUAAAGGCAAAGGAGUGUUUUUAUCAAAACUAGAGAAGCUCCCCGUGAUUUGUGCACUAAUAAGAGAUUUUUUAUUUGAUACAAGUGCACAAAAUAGGAUCGUUGCUCCCCUAAAAUUAAUAAACACACACAACGAGUGCAAGAAGAUAGAUGAGACAAUAAGCAUAUCACUUGCACAAAACAAAUGGUUGAGCAACAUGUAAAAGAAGCAACUUAAGAAUAGGCUCAACCAAAAUAAUGUGUGUGAGUCAUGGCAAAGCACUUGAGAUGACUAAGAUAAGGAUGAACAUUACUCAUCAACAUAGUCUUGAUGAAAUGAUAAACAAAGUGCAAGACAUAUCAUUCCCACACACACAUACUAGAAAAUGGGUUCACAAGCUUACUAAUAAAAAAAAAGAACCAAUGCUUGUGACAAUGUAGUGCCCCAAGUGUAAACCUUUCCCUUUUUCUAACCUUCCAUGUGGGACNUGCAAUAUUUGGUGAUUUGUAGAGUGUCCUAGAGGUGCAAGAGAUCACAAAACAGAUAAUACAAAUGCUGUUUUGUAAUUAAUUUAAUUGCUCCAAAAAUACCAUUUGUAUUUUAUUUAAAUAGGAUAAUUAUUUUCAUGACCAGGAACAUUUUUAGAUUGAUUUUACCCACCACAGUUAGCACUGUGUAUUAUUUUCUGUCUCUGGUUUCUUUUAUUAGGGAAACAGUCCAGAGGGUCUUUUUCUAAUCUAGCGCACUUGUUGGGCCUCCUCCCAUCUAGUCAGCGCCUGCUUCUCCCUUGCCUCUCGCAGCCCAGUGGAUGUCCUGUAGACGGCACCCCUGUUUGCUUCCCCCUCCGUCAGUGUUCCUCUCCAACAGGUUCAGAGCAACGGCAACCUCACGGCGUCACGGACGUCGAGGAACGUUCCUCGACCCUCCCCUCCAUAAAAGGGACCCCCCUUGGCGUCCGUGCAAUAGGGUUUCCCCUCUCGCGCCGCCACCUCCAUUCCCUCUCCAUCUCUCUCUGUGACGAAGCACCCCAGGUACGGGGAGGGCUCCUCCGCCAUGGCCGUGGGUUGAGGUGCUCCUCGCCGCCGUGUACGAGCCUCUUCUUCCUCCCCGACGACUCGGCGAGCACGCGGGCACAUCCAGGGGUCCAUCCCCGCGGCAAGGUCGACCCGAGCACCCCUGCAUCCUCUUCUCCACGACGGCGACAACCUUCCCCGACUAGCAGACCAGAUCGACGGCCACCUCUUCUUCCCCUGCUUCCUCUCCGUCGCGGCCGAGUUCUUCUUCCCUUGGGUGAGCAGAUCCAUCUCUUACCCCUUCCGUGUUGUAGUUCAUCGAGUAGGAGCCUUAGAACUCCGAUGAGAUGCUUCCCUAUCACCGGCGCCGCCGCGCACCGUAGCUAGGUUGUUGUGAUUCGUCUCGGGCGGAGUUAGCAUAGGAAAUGGGUUCGUGGGAGCGUAGGCGUCCUCCCAUCCACGAGCCGUUGCUCGAUUUGGUCUGUGUCGCCGGCGGGACAGCUCCCCUGUUCCGGCCGCCGCGGCUCCCUUCUGUAUCUCAGAGGGGGAUGUUUAGAAGGGUUAGUGCCCUUUCUCUGUCAGACUUUUGGCCGUAGCGUAGUGGUAGUAGUAGUGGUGCCCUGUUGCCUGUUGGAGGGCAUGAGUUCGAACCCUCCCCUCGACAACCCUUUUUAUUCGUUUAAUUCCUUCGCCACAGUAGGGGCAGGGUAAGCCAUACCUUGUGAGCACCCCCUCUCUGGUCAAACCAGUGGCCGUAGCAGAGUGGUGGCUACCUUAUGGUGUGUGUGAUAGAGCAACAGGUCUAGGUUCGACCCCCAGCUCCUCCCUUUUUAUUUUUUUCCCUUGUUCUCUGUUAUUUUUUUUCCUUUGCUGUGUGUUUUUGCUGCUAGCAACAACAUUGCAAGUGCAUGUGAUUCAGUUUAUAUUAGGUUAGGUUUCAUUUUUGUUGUUGUGUCCUUGCUUGGUGCAUGUGAAGCUUAUAUGUGCAAUGUGGUAUGAUAAAGUGUGUGUGUAGGUUCACUAGUGUCUUGCUUAUGUGGAAUAGGUGAUAUGUUUUGUGUGCUUGUCUUGGGGUGCUGACGGUGUGAAGAACACACCCNNNNNNNNNNNNNNNNNNNNNNNNNNNNNNNNNNNNNNNNNNNNNNNNNNNNNNNNNNNNNNNNNNNNNNNNNNNNNNNNNNNNNNNNNNNNNNNNNNNNNNNNNNNNNNNNNNNNNNNNNNNNNNNNNNNNNNNNNNNNNNNNNNNNNNNNNNNNNNNNNNNNNNNNNNNNNNNNNNNNNNNNNNNNNNNNNNNNNNNNNNNNNNNNNNNNNNNNNNNNNNNNNNNNNNNNNNNNNNNNNNNNNNNNNNNNNNNNNNNNNNNNNNNNNNNNNNNNNNNNNNNNNNNNNNNNNNNNNNNNNNNNNNNNNNNNNNNNNNNNNNNNNNNNNNNNNNNNNNNNNNNNNNNNNNNNNNNNNNNNNNNNNNNNNNNNNNNNNNNNNNNNNNNNNNNNNNNNNNNNNNNNNNNNNNNNNNNNNNNNNNNNNNNNNNNNNNNNNNNNNNNNNNNNNNNNNNNNNNNNNNNNNNNNNNNNNNNNNNNNNNNNNNNNNNNNNNGCACAUGAGAUGUUGCACGAUUCACUAUGUUGGUUUUCCCUCCUAGUUUGUGAUCACUUCCUCCAAGCAAGUGCAUAUGUUCUAUACAUGGUUUUGGGGUAUAAAGAUCCCAGGAAUCCUUUGGUGAAAUCAUUUUUGCCAUUGGAACAUUUUUCUGGAAAAGUCAUAUUUACAUUUUCUUCUAAGUUUAGAGCUUGGUUCCAUGAAUUGUGAUGUGCUCUUGCAUUUGAUUCUUGGUUGUGUUAGUAGAGGGUUACCCCCUCUACCACAUGUUGGUUUCAAUUCAUGAUUUGGAAUCCAUGUGUGCAAGUUGUGCACAUCCUAAGUAGGCUUGUGACUGAAAUUCCAGCUUAGUGUUCACUAAGUCUGAGAAUCUGUUUAUAUUUUCUUCCCCUGUAGAUGAGGUGGUGCUGGUCAUUGUGUUGUGAGCUAGCCCUAGCUUCCAACUAUAAAGUUGGACCUGGUAUGUUUGUCUAGAUCCCUGUAAAAUUUCAUGUCAUUUGGAGACCUGUAGGUAUUGUUUUGACUGCUGUCAAAAAGCUUUAGAGCAAAGACAGAAAGUCAGGUGCAGGAAUUUUCGCUAAGUCCCUGAGAUCUGAUGGUUUUGGGAAAGUUUGCAGCCUUGUAUCUUCCUGUGCUUAAUUCCUUUUUGUGUGAUUCUUGCUUGUGCUGGUAGUAUUCUUGGCUAGCUACAGGCACAUAUGUUAUUUGUCAUAGUUGGGUAGUUGUAGGUGCUUUGCAUGUAGCUCACAAAGUGCUAUGAUGCAGUUUAUGGCAGAUUGUGUAGUUUUGUCAUUUUGAAGUUUGUGAGUGCUUAGUUGAUGUUGUGGUGUUCUUCUUUGCUCCAGCCCAUCCAUGAUGGAUUGUUUUAUGUCUUGGCAACCUGGGAAUACCAGAUUUGUGCCAUUUGAGUGUGUGGUGAAGAUUUUGACACGUAGGGCUUCAUAUCUUGUUUCGUUGAUUCCCGUUGAUCCGUAGCUCCGAUUGUAUUGUUCUUUAUAUGGUUUUGCAUUGAUUUCUCGAGACGCAUCUGAUCAUGUCAUUCUCAUGCAUGUCAAAAUAUCUUAGGUUACAGUUCUGUCAAGGAACUUGCAUUAGCUUCUUUUGCUUGUGCUAGUGAUAGAAAUUAGUGAUGCAUGCUCAUAUUCAUCUCAUGCAUCAUGUGCUUGUUGCAUCUUGAGGUGCUGUUGUUGAUUGGAUGUUAUUCUUAUGUUGGGUAGCACCGGUAUCGGAGAACAAAUACGUGGAGUCAGCAGAGUACGUGCAUGACGAUCAAGAACCAUUCCAAGCCGAGGAUAUCACAGGCAAGAUGAUAUGACCUUGAUUCCAUCUCUAGACUUGUUAUGCUAGUUUGCGUUGCCAUGUCAUAUUGCUCGCUGCCUACCACUUAAAUAAUUGCCUCUUGAUAUGCCAUGAACCCUUACACUGAUCCCUUCCUAGCAAACUUGAAUGGCUAAGCAGGCUUUGCUCAGCUACUAAUGUUAGCGUUACUAGAUGCACGUGCUUUGUCUCAUGUGAAAACAUGAGCUUGAUAUCAUUAUCUUAAAUUCUGUUAUGUAAUUAAUGCACCUAUAUACUUGGUAAAUGACGGAAGGCCUUGCCUUUUGCCGGGUGCUUUGUUCGGUUAUUGCCGCCAUAGUUACCGGCUACCGGUGUUUGGUUCCAUAAUGAUCGCUCCUAACACGUUCGGGGUUGUUAUGGGGACCCCCUCGAUAAAUCGCGUAGUGCUAAGGCUUGUCCGGCAGGACCCAACAUUGGUGUUAAUUUGCUAAUCACUUAAUAAUAAACUGCAUAGGAAAUAGCUACUCGAGGAUUUUAAUCAACAACCCGGGCCAGUGCUACUCAUAAGUGUUGGCCAACCUAGAGCAACUUAUUACGCUCGCCAGGGCAACUCGGUGUUUUGGCAUGGUAACCAUCGCUCAUCCGGCAUGUCCUGAGACUGAGAUACGCGGCUCUUAUCACGGUCGUCGACACGUCGGGAGGUCCUGCUAGCCUCGCCUCACCUUAGCGAUAUAUCCCGCGUAUAGGAAUCCCAGUGAAGCUUUGGUUUUCCCCAGAGUUGAGGUUUUCCUCUAAGGAAUCGGAUGAGAUCACGAGAUUCGUGAUAGAGGAUUACUUUGCGGCCUGUGUACGUUUGUGAUGGACUAGUUGGAGCAGCCCUCCAGGGUUUAAUCUUUCGGAAAGCCGUGCCCGUGGUUAAGUGGCAACUUGGAAUAUUUUGUUAACACCCGGUAUUAGAUAAAUUAAAAAUAAGCUAAUAAAAUUUGCCAACGGUGUGCGUAACCGUGACUGUCCCCUCGAAGACCUCUCUUCGAUCGGGAACAUGGUGGGAUUUUGAACGACGUAGGUAGGUGUUCAGGAUCACUUAGUGAUCAAGUAUUCACGACCGCUAGUAUAGACCACCUUCAUAAAUGUUCUACGUAAGUUAGCCACUAAAUCAAGCUUAGGAUGCUGAAACCUUAAACACUUCACAUUACCCUACCUAAUAACUUGACUAGUUCUGCCACCAAGGUCUUAGAUUGCUGAGUCCCCGUGGCUCACGGAUUCCUCCACAAUACCAACAGGUUCAGGUACCCCAGAGACAGAUGAUCCCGACGGCACGCAGCUGGCGUGGCAGUACGAUGAGGAGACAUACCACCUGUACGUGAACUAUCCAGAAGAUUGAGGUGUGGUUGUGAUCGUGGGCCUGCAGGCAGGGUAGCAUAGCCUUUCUAUGUUUUGUAGUCCGUAGCGGAACUACCUUGGUUGUAUGUGUGAUGUACUCUGAGAUAUUUAUGAGAAGGCAAUUGAAUCCCUGAUUGUCUAUCUUUAUUAUUAUGUAUGUGAUGUGUUACCUGUUUGCGAGACGCUUAGAUGCGCUCCUUUCCAAUUCGGGGCCUCGAUCCCCAGAUUGGAAAGGACCGCAUCUUGGUCGUUACAAGUUGGUAAUCAGAGCCUUACGACCAUAGGAGUCUUUGUGUGAUCGUACUUGGCCGAGUUGAGUCUAGAAAAUGUUUUGCGUCUUAGUUAUAUCGGAGAGUAGGAUUCUUUUUUCUCCUCUUCUAUGCUCUGGUCAGGUUCCCAUCUUAGGAAAUCUUUAACUCUACUCCUUUUCUCGCUCAAUUUUUUUUUAGGAUCACGCGGGUAUUUGUGAAAUCUAUAUGAUUUCGAUGUGACAGAAUCCUGUCCUGGUGCCUCCUAUCUGCUCUAAGUUUCAGGGGAGUUGAGCUCCGGGGGAUUCUUGCGCACAUCGCCAUCAUUCAGAUUUCUGAGUAUCUAAGAAUGAAGGAUGUUCGUUAUUGCUUCAAUACUGGUAGUGGUGAGAUAACCCCGAUGUCCCCAGUACUGGUGCAGAUUGUUCGGGGGUACUACGACACUUGGUAUCGUUGUGAUCACGAGGAUCUGUUGUAGAUGAAGGUCCGAGAUGCUGGUUGUGUGUUGAAGGAUGUGAUACAGGUGACGGGUUAGUUUAGGAGUUGUGUGAAAUACUCCUUGUAUCCGUGUACCAGAUUGCAUGACCAGUUAUUUCGAGAAUUCAUAGGUGGGAUAUCAAGUAGUAUCUUAUAGGACUAUCUUCCUACAGAUGCUUGAUUGAGGUUUGGGGAAUCUCGAUCAUAUGUUUGUUCCGAGCAAUUCUAGCUCACACUUGUUUGCAGUGGUCCUUAUCGGAAUUUUGUCGUCCGUCACUUUGAGGAUGCAUUCUUGCUAUGUUGUUCAAGGGCAAUUGCUAAAUUCUGUUCAGAUCUUUCUUUUGAUUCAGCAAUAUCUUCAAUUAUUUUGUGGACUAAUAUGCUGUCCGUCUUCAGGAUGGCUCCACCGACUCGUCAGAACCCAGGGCGUGAGGAUAUGCCGCCUCCACCACCUCCUCCCCCUCCGUCGCCGCCGCCUCCUCCUGCAGAGGCCUGGCAAGCGAUGAUGGCAGCUACUAAUGCAAACACCCAGAUGCUGAUUCAGUUGUUGCAAGAGAGAGCCAACCAACAGCCAGGCAAUUUUCAACAUGGUGGAAAUCAGUUUGCGAGUCUGAGUGAGUUUCUGUCGAACCAGCCAAAGACGCUCACUUCUUGCGACCAGCCAUUUGAUGCAGAAGAUUGGAUUCGUGAUAUGAACAAAAAUUUCGAGUGUAGCAAUGUGCGUCCGGAGGAUUAUGUCAAGUUUGCAACGUUUCAGUUGAAGGGGCAGGCUUCUAUCUGGUGGCAACAACUCAAAGACUCCAGAGGCGCUAGGGUGAUUUCGUGGGAUGACUUCUGUUGCGACUUCAGGUCCCACUACAUUCCUUCUAUUUUUGUGGAGGAGAUGCGUGAGAAGUUCAGGCGUUUGAAGCAGGGCGGCAAUUCCGUGUACAAGUACAAUGUCGAGUUCCACGACCUGGCCCGUUACGCGCUGCAGGAUAUCCCAGAUCAGAGGAGCAAGAUCUAUCAGUUCAGGGGUGGCUUGAAAGAAGACUUGCAGUUAGAUCUUGCCUUGCACGAUCCUGAGGAAUUCGACAAGUUCUACAACCUAGCUCUUAGAGCAAAGGCAACCUUGCUCAGGGUGGAAAAUUCCAAGAAGCGCUUCAGAGAUUCCAGCUCUUCCUCGACUCAGGUGGUUCAGAAGCAACAUAGGUUUUGGGUUUCUCCUCCUCCUCCUCGGCACUCACAGCAGCUGAAGCACUCAGGUGGUCGUGGCUCUUCCCACCCACCCAACCCUGGGUUCCAGCAGAGAUACCAGCAUCAGAAGCAAGGGCCUCCUCACACUCAGUACCGGCAGCAAGCAGAUGUCACUUGUCACAAAUGUGGGCAGAAGGGUCACUAUGCCAACAAAUGUACUUCUCAGCUCCGACUGCCGCCUCCUCCUCCAUGCAAACCUCCAAGCAAUGCUCUUGUCAAGUUCAACCCCAGAUCAGCUCGAGUCAACUUGGUGAACGCAAUUGAAGCAGACAACUCCUCUGAUGUGAUCAUGGGUAACCUCCUCGUCAAUGAUAUUCCUGCUAAAGUGUUAUUUGAUUCUGGUGCAUCGCAUUGCUUCAUCUCCAAGCCUUUCAUAGCUAAGCAUGAUAUUCCUGCAAUUCAUUUGGAUAGUCCCUUCCGUGUGGUUUCUCCGGGCAUGCGCAUGAGUUCGCACAUGAGGGUUCCGGAUGCUUCUGUCAAGAUAGGCAGUUAUUCUUUUCUGGCGUCUCCUAUUGUCUUGGGCAAUUCCGACAUCGACUUGAUUCUUGGUAUGGACUGGCUGGCCAUGAACGAGGCGUCAAUUGAUUGUGAAGCCAAAGAAGUGAAGCUUACCCACUCUUCGGAAGACGUGAUUAUAUUCGCGGCUCGCGAUGAUACAAUCCGUCUGUUCUCCUUGAAUGAAAAGGGUGAGAUCAAUCCUAUUGAGCAAGUCCCAGUGGUCUGUAAAUAUCAAGAUGUGUUUCCUGAAGAGCUUCCAGGCAUGCCUCCGCACCGUGAAGUUGAGUUUGUCAUUGAGCUUGAGCCAGGCACAGAGCCAGUGUGCAAACGGCCGUACAAGCUGGGUCCAGAAGAAUUGAAGGAACUUAAGAGGCAACUCGAUGAGCAGGAGCGUUUGGGUUUGAUCAGACCGAGCUCGUCUCCGUGGGGUAGUGGUGUUCUGUUUGUCAAGAAGAAGGAUGGCACGGACCGGCUGUGUGUCGAUUACCGUCCAUUGAACAAGAAGACAAUCAGGAACAAAUAUCCACUUCCGAACAUAAUUGAGUUGUUCGAACAGUUGAAAGGUGCUAAAGUAUUCUCAGAAUGGGCUAUCAUCAAAUUCGCAUUCGCGAGGAAGACAUUCCGAAGACGGCCUUCAGGACUAGUUUUGGCUCGUAUGAGUAUACGGUCAUGUCUUUUGGUCUGGCAAAUGCUCCUCCGACAUUCUGUCGAUUGAUGAACUAUAUUUUCUCCCCAUACAAGAAUGAAUUUGGCUUGCUCUAUCUCGACGACAUUCUAGUCUUUUCUGAGACUGAGGAAGAACAUGAAGUACAUCUCAGGUUGGUGCUUGAUAAACUAACAGAGUACAAGCUGUAUGCAAAGUUUUCCAAGUGUGAGUUCUGGCUGAAAGAAGUGGUUUAUCUUGGGCAUAUUAUCUCUGCCAAGGGCAUUAAGGUUGAUCCGUCCAAGGUCCAAGCCAUUGUUGAAUGGGAGCCUCCGUAGAAUGUGAAGCAGCUUCGAAGCUUUCUCGGGCUUGCUGGAUAUUGCAGAAGGUUCGUUGAGAACUUCUCCAAGAUAUCCAAGCCGGUCUCAAGUCUUCUUCAGAAAGGUGUUAAGUAUGCUUGGUCUCCAGAGUGUCAACUCGCUUUCGAUACACUCAAAGAGAAGCUUAUCUCCACUCCGGUUUUGGCCCCUCCGGAUGAUUCCAAUCCGUACCAGGUCUUUUGCGAUGCUUCUCUCCAGGGUCUUGGUGCAGUCCUGAUGCAAGAUAAGAAGGUGGUUGCUUAUACCUCCAGGCAGUUGAAGCCUGUGGAGAAGAACUAUCCUGUGCAUGAUCUUGAGCUAGCAGCUGUGGUACACGCCUUGAUGACUUGGAGACAUCUCUUGUUGGAACGUAAGGUUGAAGUUUUCACCGAUCACAAGAGUCUCAAGUACAUCUUCACUCAGCCUAACUUGAAUAUUCGACAAACACGUUGGGUGGAAAUGCUCCAGGAUUUUAAUCCGAGUGUUGAGUACACGCCAGGCAAGGCAAAUGUCGUGGCGGAUGCAUUGAGCAGGAAGGUAUAUUGCAACAGUCUGAUUCUGCAACCUCUCCAGCCGGGUCUUUGUGAGUCUUUCAAAAAGCUCAACCUUCAGCUAGUACCUCAGGGAUUUCUUGCGAACCUUCAGAUCUCUCCUACCUUGGAAGAUCAGGUCAGAGCAGCUCAGCUUCUUGACGCUAUGGUGAAGAAGGUCAAGAUUGGCGUGGGAAAGAGUCUCCCCAAGUAUAAGUGCUUCACUGUUGAUGCCAGGAAGACGUUGUUUUUAUAGGAUCGCCUUGUCGUCCCGAAAGGUGAUCUCAGGAAGGUGAUCAUGGAAGAAGCUCAUAACUCUCUGCUCUCUAUUCAUCCUGGAAGCUCCAAAAUGUACCAUUACUUGAAGCAGACAUUCUGGUGGACUCGUAUGAAACGUGAGAUUGCUCAGUUCGUAAACGAGUGUGAUGUAUGUCAUAGGGUGAAAGCAGAACAUCAACGCCCAGCAGGCCUCUUGCAGCCUUUGCCGAUUCCCGAGUGGAAGCUUGAUCACAUUGAGAUGGAUUUCGUCACCGGGUUUCCAAAGUCCAAGAAGGGUAAUGAUGCUAUCUUCGUCGUCAUCGACAAGUUAGGUAAAGUGGCUCAUUUUCUUCCAGUCAAGGAGUCCAUUUCAGCAGCUCAGCUGGCAGAGUUGUACACCUCCAGGAUUGUCUCUUUGCACGGCGUACCUAUGAUGAUCUCGUCAGAUCGCAGAAGUAUCUUCACUUCCAAGUUCUGGGAUUCCUUUCAGUCUGCUAUGGGCACGAAGAUCCUCUUCAGCACAAUGUUCCAUCCUCAGACUAGUGGUCAAGUGGAGAGAGUGAAUCAAAUUCUUGAGGAUAUGUUGAGAGCCUGUGUUAUAUCUUUUGGCAUGAAGUGGGAAGAUUGUCCGCCUUUCGCGGAGUUCUCGUAUAACAACAGUUAUCAAGCUAGUUCUGGAAAGGCUCCGUUUGAGAUUCUCUAUGGUAGAAAGUGCCGUACUCCGCUCAACUGGUCCGAGACCGGCGAGCGUGAGAUCCUUGGCAAUGAUAUGAUAGAAGAAGCUGAGGAGAUGUGUCGGAUCAUUCGCGACAACCUUAGAGCAGCUCAGUCCCGUCAGAAGAGCUAUUAUGAUAGCAAGCACCGUGACAUGUCUUAUGAGCUUGAUGACUUUGUCUAUCUCAAGGUGUCGCCUAUGAAGGGUAUGCAGCGUUUUGGCAUCAAAGGCAAGCUUGCGCCUCGUUUCGUUGGUCCGUUCAGAGUGGUUGGCAAGAGAGGUGACCUUGCGUACCAGCUCGAGCUUCCGUCAACCUCUGCAAAUGUCCAUGAUGUGUUCCAUGUUUCUCAGCUUCGGAGGUGUUUCAAGACCCCCGAUCGCACUUUGCAUCUCCAAGACAUCGACCUUCACCGUGACCUUUCUUAUCGUGAGCAUCCAGUUGCGGUUCUCGAGGCGACUGAGCGCAAGACCCGUAACAAGUCUGUCAAAUUUCUCAAAGUGCAGUGGUCUCACCAUUCCGAUAAAGAGGCGACUUGGGAACGUGAGGAUCACCUCCGUUCCGAAUUUCCGGAAUUCUGUCAGGCGUAGAUCUCGGGGCGAGAUCUUUUUGUAGUGUGGGAGAAUUUGUAGUGCCCCAAGUGUAAAGCUUUCCCUUUUUGUAACCUUCCAUGUGGGACCACCUUGACAUUGAUAUGAGAGAGUCCUUUUGCAUGUAUGAUUUCAUGUGCCCCUUUUGUUCUUCCUUGCAUGCAUGCAUACCAUAUGUUUCUUGCCAUGUCUUGUCCUUGUGUUUGCUUGUGUUAUCAGGUGAUGAGUUGUGGUGUUUGUGAUCUUCUGGUUAUGUGGUGAUACUCAUGAGGUGUUGGAGUGUGUAGUAGUUGUGGUGGUUCUCACCUUCAAACCACUUUGGAUGGCAAAACCCUUUUCCUUCCUUUUAUAUCAUGUUCAAAAAUUACAUCUUCCCAAAAACUGUUUUAAAAUGUCUUGUGUUUAGAGUUUAUUGUGGAGAUGUUGGGGUGCAAUAUUUGGUGAUUUUUAGAGUGCCCUAGAGAUGCAAGAGAUCACAAAACAGAUAAUACAAAUGUUGUUUUGUAAUUAAUUUAAUUGCUCCAAAAAGACCGUUUGUAUUUUGUUUAAAUAGGAUAAUUAUUUUCAUGACCAAGGACAUUUUUAGAUAGAUUUUACCCACCACAGUUAGCACUGUGUCUAUUCUUUUCUGUCUUUGGGUUUCUUUUAUUAGGGAAACAGUCCAGAGGGUCUUUUCUUUAUCUGGCGCACUAGUUGGGCCUCCUCCCUUCUAGUCGGCCCGCUUCUCCCUUGCCUCUCACAGCCCAGUGGAUGUCCUGUAGACGGCGUCCCUGUUCGCUUCCCCCUCCCUCAGUGUUCCUCUCCAACAGGUUCCGAGCAACGGCGACCUGAGGGCGUCACGGACGUCGAGGAACGUUCCUCGUACCUCCCCUCCAUAAAAGGGACCCCCUUGGCGUCCGUGCAAUAGGGUUUCCCCUCUCGCGCCACCACCUCCAUUCCCUCUCCAUCUCUCUCUCUCUCACGAAGCACCCCAGGUAUGGGAAGGGCUCCUCCGCCAUGGCCGUGGGUUGAGGUGCUCCUCGCUGCCGUGUACGAGCCUCUUCUUCCUCCCCGACGACUCGGCGAGCACGCGGGCACAUCCAGGGGUCCAUCCCCGCAGCUAGGUCGACGCGAGUGCCCCUGCAUGCUGUUCUCCACGACGGCGACAACCUUCCCCGACGAGCAGACCAGAUCGACGGCCACCUCUUCUUCCCCUACUUCCUCUCCGUCGCGGCCGAGUUCUUCUUCCCUUGGGUGAGCAGAUCCAUCUCUUACCCCUUCCCUGUUGUAGUUCGUCGAGUAGGAGCCGUAGAACUCCGACGAGCUACUUCCCUGUCACUGGCGCCGCCGCGCCCCGUAGCUAGGUUGCUGUGAUUCGUCUCGGGCGGAAUUAGCAUAGGAAAUGGGUUCGUGGGAGCAUAGGCGUCCUCCCAUCCACGAGCCGUUGCUCGAUUUGGUCUGUGUCGCCGGCAGGACAGCUCCCCUGUUCCGGCCGCCGCGGCUCCCCUGUGUAUCUCAGAGGGGGAUGUUCAGAAGGGUUAGUGCCCCUUCUUUGUGAGACUUCUGGCCGUAGCGUAGUGGUAGUAGUAGUGGUGCCCUGUUGCCUGUUGGAGGGCAUGGGUUCGAACCCUCCCCUCGGCAACCCUUUUUAUUCGUUUAAUUCUUUCGCCACAGUAGGGGCAGGGUAAGCCAUACCUUGUGAGCACCCCCUACCUGGUCAAACCAGUGGUCGUAGCAGAGUGGUGGCUACCUUAUGCUGUGUGUGAUAGAGCAACAGGUCUGGGGUUCGACCCCCAGCACCUCCCUUUUUAUUUUUUCCCUUGUUCUCUGUUAUUUUUUUCCUUUGCUGUGUGUUUUUGCUGCUAGCAACAGCAUUGGAGGUGCAUGUGAUUCAGUUUAUAUUAGGCUAGGUUUCAUUUUUGUUGUUGUGUCCUUGCUUGGUGCAUGUGAAGCUUAUAUGUGUAAUGUGGUGUGAUAAAGUGUGUGUGUAGGUUCACUAGUGUCUUGCUUAUGUGGAAUAUGUGAUAUGUUUUGUGUGCUUGUCUUGGGGUGCUGAUGGUGUGAAGAACACACCCACAUGAACAUAGUUCAUGAACUCCCUAGUUGUGAGCAUGUGUAUGUGAUAUGGUGUUCCCAUCUUGUGUUACAUGUUUAGAGACCUACUUCUUGUGUUUUGAUCAAGAGCAUGUUGUAGCGUGAUGUGGAUUAGAUGUGUGUGUGAGAAGCAUUCCACCUUUGCAAGCAAGCUAUGCACCUUCACAUGACCAUAUGUGAGAGGGCAUGGUGUUUUGCUUGUGUGGAUAGCUUGGUAGAGGUGCUUGUGAUGUUGAUGUGUUAUGACACACAUACAUGGGGUAAAAACCCUCAUGUAACCAUUGGUGUUGUGCUCAUGAACAAGCAUCCAUGUAGGAGUUGAUCUAGUGAAUGCACAUGAGAUGUUGCACUAUUCACUAUGUUGUUUUCCCCUCCUAGUUUGUGAUCACUUGCUCCAAGCAAGUGCAUAUGUUUUAUACAUGGUUUUGGGGUAUAAAGAUCCCAGGAAUCCUUUGGUGAAAUCAUUUUUUCCAUUGGAAAAUUUUUCUGGAAAAGUCAUAUUUACAUUUUCUUCUAAGUUUAGAGCUUGGUACCAUGAAUUGUGAUGUGCUCUUGCAUUUGAUUCUUGGUUGUGGUAGUAGAGGGUUGCUCCCUCUACCACAUGUUGGUUUCAAUUCAUGAUUUGGAAUCCAUGUGUGCAAGUUGUGCCCAUCCUAAGUAGGCUUGUGACUGAAAUUCUAGCUUAGUGAAAAUCUGAGAUUUUCACUAAGUCUGAGAAUCUCUUUAUAUUUUCUUCCCCCGUAGAUGAGGUUGUUAUGGUCAUUGUGUUGUGAGCUAGCCCUAGCUUCCAACUAUAAAGUUGGACCUGAUAUGUUUGUCUAGCUCCCUGUAAAAUUUCAUGUCAUUUGGAGCCCUGUAGGUAUUGUUUUGACUGCUGUCAAAAACCUUCAGAGCAAAGACAGAAAGUCAGGUGCAGGAAUUUUGACUAAGUCCGUGAGAUCUGAUGGUUUUGGGAAAGUUUGCAGCCUUGUAUAUUCCUGUGCUUAAUUCCUUUUUGUGUGAUUCUUGCUUGUGCUGGUAAUAUUCUUGGCUAGCUACAGGCACAUAUAUUAUUUGUCAUAGUUGGAUAGUUGUAGGUGCUUUGCAUGUAGCUCACAAAGUGCUAUGAUGGUGUUUAUGGCAGAUUGUGUAGUUUUGUCAUUUUGAAGUUUGUGAGUGCUUAGUUGAUGUUGUGGUGUUCUUCUUUGCUCCACCCCAUCCAUGAUGGAUUGUUUUAUGUCUUGGCAACCUGGGAAUACCAGAUUUGUGCCAUUUGAGUGUGCGGUGAAGAUUUUGACACGUAGGGCUUCAUAUCUUGUUUCGUUGAUUCCCGUUGAUCCGUAACUCCGAUUGUAUUGUUCUUUAUAUGGUUUUGCAUCGAUUUCUCGAGAAGCAUCUGAUCAUGUAAUUCUCAUGCAUGUCAAAAUAGCUUAGGUUACAGUUCUGUCCAGGAACUUGCAUUAACUUCUUGUGCUUGUGCUAUUGAUAGAAAUUAGUGAUGCAUGCUCAUAUUCAUCUCAUGCAUCAUGUGCUUGUUGCAUCUUGAGGUGCUGUUGUUGAUUGGAUGUUAUUCUUAUGUUGGGUAGCACCGGGAUCGAAGAACGAAUACGUGGAGUCAGGAGAGUACGUGCAGGACGAUCAAGAACCAUUCCAAGCUGAGGAUAUCACAGGCAAGAUGAUAUGACCUUGAUUCCAUCUCUAGACUUGUUAUGCUAGUUUGCGUUGCCAUGUCAUAUUGAUCGCUGCCUACCACUGAAAUAAUUGCCUCUUGAUAUGCGAUGAACCCAUACAUUGAUCCCUUCCUAGCAAACUUGAAUGGCUAAGUAGGCUUUGCUCAGCUACUAAUGUUAGCGUUGCUAGAUGCAGGUGCUUUGUCUCAUGUGACAACAUGAGCUUGAUAUCAUUAUCUUAAAUUCUGUUAUGUAAUUAAUGCACCUAUAUACUUGGUAAAUGACGGAAGGCCUAGCCUUUUGCCGGAUGCUUUGUUCCGUUAUUGCCGCCAUAGUUACCGGCUACCGGUGUUUGAUUCCAUAAUGAUCGCUCCUAACACGUUCGGGGUUGUUAUGGGGACUCCCUCGAUAAAUCGCGUAGUGCUAAGGCUUGUCCUGCAGGACCCAACAUUGGUGUUAAUUUUCUAGUCACUUAAUAAUAAACUGCAUAGGGAAUAGCUCCCCCGAGGAUUUUAACCAACAACCCGGGCCAGUGCUCCUCAUGAGUGUUGGUCCAACCUAGAGCAGCUUAUUACGCUCCCUGGGGCAACUCGGUGUUUUGGCGUGGUAACCAUCGCUCAUCCGGUGUGUCCCGAGACUAAGAUACGCGACUCUUAUCAGGGUCGUCGACACGUCGGGAGGUCCUGCUAGCCUUGCCUUAACUUAGCGAUAUAUCCUGCGUAUAGGAAUCCCAGUGAAGCUUUGGUUUUCCCCAGAGUUGAGGUUUUCCUCUAAGGAAUCCGACGAGAUCACGAGAUUGAUGAUAGAGGAUUACUUUGCGGCCUGUGUACGUUUGUGAUGGACUAGUUGGAGCACCCCUGCAGGGUUUAAUCUUUCGGAAAGCCGUGCCCGCGGUUAUGUGGCAACUUGGAAUAUUUUGUUAACACCCGGUAUUAGAUAACUUAAACAUAAGCUAAUAAAAUUUGCCAACGGUGUGCGUAACCGUGACUGUCCCCUCGAAGACCUCUCUUCGAUCGGGAACACGGUGGGGUUUUGAAUGAUGUAGGUAGGUGUUCAGGAUCACUUAGUGAUCAAUUAUUCACGAUCGCUAGUAUAGACCACCUUCAUAAAUGUUCUACGUAAGUUAUCCACUAAAUCAAGCUUAGGAUGCUGCAACCUUAAACACUUCACCUUAUCCUACCUAAUAACUUGACUAGUUCUGGCACCAAGGUCUUAGAUUGCUGAGUCCCCGUGGCUCACGGAUCCCUCCACAAUACCAACAGGUUCAGGUACCCCAGAGACAGAUGAUCCCGACGGCACGCAGUUGGCGUGGCAGUACGAUGAGGAGACAGACCGCCUGUACGUGAACUAUCCAGAAGAUUAAGGCGUGGUCGUGAUCGUGGGCCUGUAGGCAGGGUAGCAUAGCCUUUCUAUGUUUUGUAGUCCGUAGCGGAACUACCUUGGUUGUAUGUGUGAUGUACUCUGAGAUAUUUAUGAGAAGGCAAUUGAAUCCCUGAUUGUCUAUCUUUAUUAUUAUGUAUGUGCUGUGUUACCUGUUUGCGAGACGCUUAGAUGCGCUCCUUUCCAAUUCAGGGCCUCGAUCCCCAGAUCAGAAAGGACCGCAUCUUGGUCGUUACAGACAACCCAUGGUAACCGCAUCUCCGCGAUCUCGUUAGCGUAUUCACACUCAUGACCUUCCAUUGUCUCAAUGGUGGCCUCAUGCUCCACGAGAUGAGCUUCCAACUCCUCAAUGUAUUUCUUGCCCUCAGUGGCAAUAGACAUUAUUUCCAAUAAGUUGGAACAAGCAAGUUUAUUCUUAUAAAGAGAUUUAAAAAUCAUUUCACCCUUAAUUUUUAAGGAUGCAAUAUUAUCACUGUCUUCAUCAUUAUUCUCAUCCCCAUUAUCAUCAACAUCAUCAUCAUGAGAUAUAUUGGGAUUCAAAGUAGGAGAUACGUUUGAAGCCUUAGCCAUAAGGCAAAAGUGAGUCACAAUAGAUGAUGAUGUAGGAUCCCUUGAAGCAUCAUUCAAGGCCACAUAUUGUUCCAUGGAGUGACGAGUUUCCUCUAUAUUGUUAGCACAACAACUCGAGGAAAUAUAUACAUUUUUAUCAUGGUAGCAAGAUAUAGGAAGCAUAUCAUCAUGAGAUUUAGUCAAGCAGUUUUUACAUGAUAUGCAAGGACUAUCAACACAAGCAUGUAAAACAUUUAGAGUGAUCGAAGUGUUAAUGCCCAAAGAUGUAGCAUUGCAAUAAUAUAGUGAUGAAGGAUCAUCAACAAUAAACCCACUAUCAUCAUUGCAAUGAUCACCACUAUUCACCAUAUCAUUACCUUGUGGCAAUCCACAUGUAGGCGAAGUAGAUGAAUUUGAGAAGACCACACGACCGGAGGUGGAGGGAGAACAAUCAUUCCCACAAAUCAUGGACAUACCAUAUUUAUCUUGAAGCUUUGUCCACAACUCAUGAGCAUCCCGGAAUGGCAUGAGUUGAAAUAUAACUACAUUGCUCAAAGCAUCAAAAAGCACAUUAGAAGCUUGAGCAUUGAGAUAAGAGUUUUUCUCAUCCUCUAAAGAUAUAUUUUGAGAAUCCUUUGAAGGAGAAAAACCCAUAUCAAAAUUCGCUCUAAAUUUGGGUCCAAGACCCGAAAGUGAUUAAGAAUGCGAAUUAACAAAACAUCAAAAUUUGUGCCAUCGAAACUAAGAGUGUCAGUGAAUCCUAAACCCCUAGUCGACAUCCUUACUCUCUAGGUGGUUAAACCUAAUUAAGAGAGACCUAGCUCUAAUACCAAUUGAAAGGACGUGGAUGUCGCCUAGAGGGGGGGGUGAAUAGGCGCUUUAAAAUAAUUAUGGUUUAGGCUUAAACAAAUGCGGAAUAAAACUAACGUUUAAUUUGUCAAGCACAAAACCUACAACUUAUGCUAAGCAAGAUAAACAACUAAGUGAUAGAAAGAUAUAUGACAAUAAACAAUAUGGCUAUCACAAAGUAAAGUGCGUAAGUAAAGGGUUCGAGUAAGAGAUAACCGAGGCACACGGAGACGAUGAUGUAUCCCGAAGUUCACACCCUUGCGGAUGCUAAUCUCUGUUGGAGCGGUGUGGAGGCAUAAUGCUCCCCAAGAUGCCACUAAGGCCACCGUAAUCUCCUCACGCUCUUGUACAAUGCAAGAUAUCGUGAUUCCACUAAGGGACCCUUGAGGGCGGUCACCAAACCCGUACAAAUGGCAAACCUUGGGGGCGGUUACUGAUACCCGUACAAAUUUCUCGGGGCAUCUCCACAACCUAAUUGGAGACCCCGAUGCUUGCUCGGAGCUUUACACCACAAUGAUUGAGCUCCGAGACACCACAAAGCUUCUAGGACGCCAAAGCAUCCACAAAGAACAAUAUCUAGGGUACUAAGAACCAAAGGUAAUAAGCUUCUCAAACUUCACUUCCACGUAUCACCGUGGAGAACUCAAUAGAUGCAACUAAUGCAAUGGCAAGGGCACACAGAGUGCCCAAGUCCUUCUCUCCCAAAUCCCACCAAAGCAACUAAUGCUAGGGAGGAAAAUGAGAGGAAGAAUGAAGAAGAACAUGAAGAACUCCAAGAUCUAGACCCAAGGGGUUCCCCUCAGUUAGAGGAGAAAGUGAUUGGUGGAAAUGUGGAUCUAGAUCUCCUCUCUCUUUUCCCUCAAGAACUAGCAAGAAUCAUUGGAGGGAUUGAGAGUUAGCAAGCUCGAAGAAGGUCAACAAUGGGGGAAGAACACGAGCUAAAGAGAUAAAGUUCAAUGGGGAAGAAGACCCCCUUGUAUAGGUGGGGAAAAAUCCAAUCGUUAAGCCUCACAACCCACACAGAGCGGUACUACCGCUCAUGGGAUCGGUACUACCGCUCGGUAGGUUCACCAACCAUGCUGAGGCAAAAAAGGAUGCAAAAAACAGUCCGACGGAGCAGUACUACCGCUCCUGGAGCGGUACUACCGUUAGGGAGCAGUAGUAAAAAAUUACUACCGCUCCGGUGGCGUACUACCUCUCCGGGGGCGGUACUACCGCUAGAGGAGCGGUACUACCGCUGGAUACUAAAACUGCUAUAACUUUCGCAUACGGACUCCGAAUUCAACGAAACCAAGUUUUUUUGGAAAGCUAACGACAUGGGCCAAAACAAUCUUGAUAGAAAUAUCAAUAAUAAGCAAGUGAGAAAAAUCCCAUAAGACAAUGGCUAGAACCCUUCUUCGAAUAAGACCGGUAAAAACUCCCAACAUCGAAAACAUCAUAGAAGAUGCAUAUGGAAUCCGUUUUCGAUGAACUCGAGCUUGUCAUGAAGAUGACCAUAAGCUCUAAAACUGAAAAAGAGAAAUACCAAACAAGAACCAAGAAGUAUGAUGCAAGGAUGCAAAUGGUUGGAGAUCUCAACGAACGAUGCGAUCAAGCUACUCACUUGAGACCCCCUUGAUAGUACGACAAUCUAUCCUAAAACAGAAAAGCUAUCAAGGGCAAACCUAUACCUUGCACCUCGUCCUCUUGGGCUAGAUGACGAUGAUCUUGGCUUCCUCAAGAUGGACCACAUUUCUUGCUUGCGUUGGCUUGAUGAAGACUAGUUGUUUGCUCCCCCAUACACACUAUGGGUGAUUCGCUCUUCAACAUAUCUUCACAAGUCCCUUGCCACCAUCCUUCAUCACUUGACGUCAUCCUCCAUGGGUUGUAUGAGAUAUUCCUCUUGCUUGCGUUGGCUUGAUGAAUACUAGUUGAUUCCUUCCCUAUACACACUAUGGGUGAGCCGGUCUUCAACAUAUCUUCACAAGUCCAUUGCCACCAUCCUCCAUCACUUGACGUCAUCCUCCAUGGGUUGUAUGAGAUAUUACUCUUGAUGCAAGCCCAUGGAAACACACCGAACCCCACAUAGAACUCUCAAGAAGACCAUGGGUUAGUACACAAAUACGUACUGGACAAUGCUUACCAUACCAUGGGAUCACUUGAUCCUUCUCGGUACAUCUUGUACGUUUUGUGUGUUGAUCAUCUUGAUUUCCUCUUUGUCUGACGAUCUUGAUCAACCUUGUGUCUCGAUGACCAUUCUUUGGAUAAUACCUUGAAUACCACCUUGGUCAUCAUAUAAACUCCUUGAACCCAACAUAUGGACUUCAAGAAGUGCCUAUGGACAAAUCCUAUAAAUAUAACUUAAGGCAACCAUUAGUCCAUAGGAAUUGUCAUAAAUUACCAAAACCACAUAUGGAGAUAUAUGCUCUAACACUUACACCCCUUCACUCGGGCUAAGGACUGUUGGGAGCACAUCAUGGUGUUGUACAAGGGAAGCUCAAGGAUUCAACGGUACAACUAUGAAGUGGUUCUUGAUGAGGCCGAUGAGUUUGUGAUGAAGGAAGAUGAGGACCAUCGAGAUCUCUAUCGAAGGGUGACUGCUAUUGCUGUUGCCCUCAAGGAUCAUGGAAGCAAGGAUGUGGAUGACACAUGGAUGAAGCGCAAGUUUCUCAAGGCCAUCAUGCCAUUCAACAAAACCAUGUCUUCCGUCAUUCGCCAAUGGCCAGAUUUCCACUCCUUGUCCUCCAGUGAGGUGUUGGAUGAAUUCAUUGUGAUGACUAUCGUGAACAAGACUGCUGCUAAUGCUCUUGCCCGUGUUUGGUCAAAGAGAGCUUCACCCAACCUUGCCUUAAAAGCCAAGGAUUCUUCAGAAGAAGAAGAAGAGGAAGAGAAAGAGGACGGCUGCCCUCAAGACACUACGUAUGCCUAUCACGAGCACAUGGCUCUUGCAUCAAGGCAAUUCUAGGGCAACAAGAGAAACUCAAGGCCCAAUUUCUCCAAGAAUAACUCAAGUGGAUUCAGGACCAAGCAGCGUGUGAGGACAUGCUAUAACUGUGGCAAUGUGAGUCACUUCGUGGCAGAAUGUCCCUAUGAGAAGAGGGAAGACAACAGUGGCAAGCUCAUUCGCAAAGACAAAGCCGAGUCUUUCCCAAAUAAGAACAACUUUGUCAAGAAACCACAUCCAAAGGGUAUGGUGGCAUUUGAAGAGUACACCUCUGAUGAUGAUGACGAUGAUGAUAUAGUGGCUACGGCUACUGUAGCCAUUGCCACCUCCUCUCCCAAGGUGUCUCUCUUCGGCUCCCCCAACGAUAACUGCAUCGCCAAGUGCCUUAUGGCCAAAGGUAUCGAUCAAGUAACACCCAACAUUAAGACCACCAUCACUACUGCUCCUUCAUUGUUAAACCAUGUUGAUGUUAGUGAUGUAGUGGAACUUAAUGAGCAUGAUUUUGACAAAUUUCUGUGUAAAAUCAAAGGAGAAUCCAAGAAGCACUUUGUUGCUCUUUUGGAACAACUAGGUGAGGCUAGUGACCUCAUCGAGUCUCAUGAGGAGACUAUCUCCGAGAUGCAAGGACAUAGUGGUGACUAUGCCGAUGAGAUUGCUGAAUUAUCUAUUGCUCUAUAAGAAGAGCGCAGUCUUCGUUUGGCUCUUGGGGAGUCACACUACAAUGAUUGUGCGAAAUUACAAAAGGAGCUAGAUCAUGCCAUUGUCUUUACAUGUGUGCUUAAGUCUGAAAAGGAUGCACUUGGGGUUGGCCAUGACAGACUCAAGGAGGAGUUUGAUACACUUGAAAAGGCCCACAAGGUCUUGAAAGGUGCUCAUUUCUCCGUGAAAGAGUCUCAUGAUCAACUCUGAGCAAAGAUUACCAAGGAGAUCUCUACCUGUCCUCCCUUUGUUCUCAUUGAUAAUGCUUGUGCAACUAACCCUUGUUGUGAGCAUGUACAUCUUGUGAAGGAAAAUGCUAAGUUGAAGGAUCAACUUGAGAAGGGCCUUGUGUCAUGCAUCCAAGGCGAGAAGAACCCAAACGACCUUUUGAGUAAUCAAAAGGGAGUUGUAGGAAAGGAGGGACUUGGACUUACAUCCAAGUCGAAAAGGAAAAUGAAGAACAGGAACAAGCGAUCUCUUUACCUCAUGGACAUCUUUGUCAAAGAGGGCGAAGGGACUCAGAAGGAGAACAAGAACAAGGUAGAGGAUGGUAUUGUCAAGAAGGGCAAAACGAUUCCUACCAACACAGUCGGCAAAUUUAAUCCCUCUUAUGUUUUAUGUCGGGCUCGUGAUGGGCAUGUUUAUGCCAGAUUUGUUGGUUCUUAUUAUGAGUCCAUAGAAUGGGCUAUUUGGGUUCCUAAGACCCUUGUUUCUAACAUCAAAGGACCCGUUCAAAAAUGGGUACCUAAAACCAAGACAUGAUCUAUUGCAGGAGUUUGCUUCCGGUGGGGUGUCAUGGUUGCUCGAUAGUGGAGCAAAAAAUCAUAUGACCGGAAGCAAGGACUUAGUGGUGGACGUGCAUCCUACCCCAUCUAUGCCCACCCAUGGCCAAUUUGCUGAAGCUUCAACGUCCAAGGUAUUGGGAUUUGGUAAGGUAGCCAUCUCUCAAGAUUUAUCUAUUGAGAAGGUCAUGCUUGUUGAGUCCCUUUCUUACAAUUUACUUUAUGUUCGUCAACUUGCAAUUAUGGGCUUUGACACAUUGUUUACUCUUGAUGCCAUGGUCCUUUUGUGGAGCAAGACUCUUAAAGUAGCCUAUGUUGGAUGUGUCUAAAAUGGUCUCUAUGUGGUGAACUUUUCACAGCGACCCACUAAGACUGCGACUUGUUUAAUGGCUAAAGUUGAGGCUCGCUUUGGCAUCGCGGACUAGCUCAUGUCAAUAUGAUAUCUUUGCAAAGUCUCCUCAAAGGGGACCAUGUUCGUGGACUAACGAAUGUUAGUUUUGCCAGAGAUCGUGUUUGCAGUGCUUGCAUUGAAGGGAAGAUUCACGAGACUGCUCAUCGUCCCAUGAUGACCCACAAGUAUAGGGGAUCAAUCGUAGUCCUUUCGAUAAGUAAUAGUGUCGAACCUAACAAGGAGCAGAAGGCUCUGAUAAACGGAUUUCAGCAAGGUAAUAACUGCUAGCACUGAAAGUAACGGUAACAAGUGAUUGUGUAGCGAGGUGAAACGUAGCAAGCAAAGAGUAACAAGUAACAAGUAGUAUCAAUGGUGCAGCAAGUGGCCCAAUCCCUUUUGUAGCAAGGGACAAGCCUGGACAAAGUCUUAUAGGAGGAAAAACGGUCUCGAGGACACACGGAAAUUUCUGUCAUGCUAGUUUCAUCAUGUCCAUAUGAUUCGCGUUCGUUACUUUGAUAGUUUGAUAUGUGGGUGGACCGGCGCUUGCGUACCGCCCUUACUUGGACAAGCAUCUCAUUUAUGAUUAACCUCUCUCGCAAGCAUCCGCAACUACAAAAGAAGAAUUAAGACAAAGUCUAAGCAUAGCAUUAAACUAGUGGAUCCAAAUCAGCCCCUCACGAAGCAACGCACAGACUGGGGUUUAAGCUUUUGUCACUCCAGCAACCCAUCAUCUACUUACUACUUCCCAAUGCCUUCCUCUAGGCCCAAAUAUGGUGAAGUGUUAUGUAGUCGACGUUCACAUAACACCACUAGAGGAAAAACAACAUACAACAUAUCAAAAUACCGAACGAAUAUCAAAUUCACAUGACUAUUAUUAACAUGAAUUAUCCCAUGUCCUCAUGAACAAAAGUAACUACUCACAAGACAUAAUCAUAAUCAUGACUAGAGGUGUAAUGAAUACAUCAAGGAUCUGAACAUAAACUCUUCCACCAAGUAAUCCAACUAGCAUCAACUACAAAGAGUAAUCAACACUACUAGCAACCUUACAAGUACCAAUCGGAGUUGCGAGACGAAGAUUGGUUACAAGAUAUGAACUAGGGAUUGGAGAGGAGAUGGUGCUCAUGAAGAUGUUGAUGAAGAUGCCUCCCCUCCGACGAGACGAGUGUUGGUGAUGACGAUGGUGACGAUUUCCCCCCUCCGGGAGGGAAGUUCCCCGACAGGAUCGUCCUGCUGGAGCUCUAGAUUGGAUGUGCUCAAGUUCCGCCUCGUGGCGGCGGCGAAACCACGAAAAAGCUCCCUCUUGAUUUUUUCCAGACCAGGACGCUUGAUAUAGCAAAAGAGGGGGGCUAGUGGGCCUUCAGGCAGCCCACAAGCCUGCCCUGCGCCACCAGGGGGGUGGUGGCGGUGGGCAAGCUUGUGGAGCCCUGGUGGCCCCCCUCCGGUAGUUCUUUCGCCUAGUAUUUUUAAUAUAUUCCAGAAAAAAUCCACGUAUAUUUUCAGGGCAUUUGGAGAUGUGCAGAAUAGUGGACUAGGGUUUGCUCCUUUUCCAGUCUAGAAUUCCAGCUGCCUGAAUUCUCCCUCUUCAAAUAAUCCUUGCAAAAUAAGAGAGAAAAGGCAUAAAUAUGGUACCACAAGUAAUAUAACAACCCAAAAAGCAAUAAGUAUCAACAUGAAAGCAUGAUGCAAAAUGGACGUAUCAACUCCCCCAAGCUUAGACCUCGCUUGUCCUCAAGCGAAAACCAAGUUCCAUAAACAUGUCCACAUGUUGAGGGACGAAGGUGUCGAUAAACCAUAAUACGGACAUGAGGGCAUCAUGAUCACACAUAGGACAGCAAUAUAUCAUAAAGAUUCUUAUGGGAAAGUAACAAUUCCUUCACAGAGCAAAGCAUGAAGCGAAAACUUUACCGAGAAGUAACCAACAAUAGUCCAUAGUCAUUGAAGCAAUUGCAAUUUAUCACAACAUCAUAAAGAGUCAAAUAAGAGCUUGUAAGGCAAACCCACAUACUCAAUCAUCUCUUUUGUUUUCCACAAUUGUUACAACUCACGUGGUACUCAUGGUGUCAAAGUUUCAGCUGGACACAGAGGAAGAUAGGGGCUUAUAGUUUUGCCUCCCAACCAUUUACCUCAAGGGUAAAGUCAACAACAAUAAAGCAUAAGUACUCAACUCCAAGUUGAUAUAUGAAUAUAGAUAUUUCCCGAACAUGUGAAGGUAGCCAAGACAAAGGCAAAAAGGGAAUUGGUGAAGAUCACCAUGACUAUUACAAGGGCAAAAAGUAAAGGUAUAAGAUAGGCCCUUGGCAUAGGGAAGUAGAGGUUGUCAUGCGCUUUUGAAGUUUGGAUGCGUGUCCUCUUAAUGCGGAGGAACGUCACUUUAUAUUGCCUCCUGUGAUAAAGAACUUUAUUAUGCAGUCUGUCGCUUUUAUGUCUUCCUCAUCACAGGUUCGUACAAAUCUUAUUUUCCACACACUAAUAGAUCAUACAUAUUAGAGAGCAAUUUUUAUUGCUUGCACCGAUGACAACUUACUUGAAGGAUCUUAUUCAAUCCAUAGGUAGGUAUGGUGGACUCUCAUGGCAAAACUGGGUUGGAGGUUUAUGGAUGCACAAGUAGUAUCUCUACUUGGUGCGGGAGUUUUGGCUAAUAUGAGGUGGAAGCAAUCGUCACAUGCUAAGGGAUCUCUAAUCAUAUAACAUUGUUUGGAACCAAGCAAACACAAUUCAUUAUGUUGUCUUCCUUGUCCAACAUCUACUCCUAGGCAUGUAAUAGUUUGGUGAGUGCUCACAAUUGUAAAAAGUGUCUAAGAUGAUAUAUUUAUAUGUGAACCUCUCUUUCCUUAUUACUUCUUAUUAAUUGCAACAAUGACUGAGGUCUAUGUUGAUUUAUUCUCAACAAGUUUCAAUCAUCAUACGUGUCAUAAGUGAAGUUAUCACUUUCCAUAAGAUCGUCUCAUGAUCUUUCAUGCUAUCGUUCUUUUCAUACUUUUGAUCAUGGCACAAAGAAAAGCCCUUGACUAAGACACUCUUUAUUAUAUAGCUCGUAAGCUCGAAUACAUCAGGGGAGAGACAAAAGCAAAAGAAUCAAACUAAACACUAAAGACUUAUUCCUCUAAAAGAAGAAAUAAAAACUGAAAAGGAAAGAACUAAAACAAAGGUAAACGCAAAAGAUAUGAAGGUGAUACGAUACCAGGGCAACUCCCCCAAGCUUGGCAGAAGCCAAGGGGAUUGCCCAUACCAAUGCUUAGUUGUCUUCCUUUGGUGGUGAUGGUGGUGUUGUUGUCGGAGUAGUCUGAUCCUCCGUCUUCCAAGGCAUAGGUGCUCCAUCAUGGCAGGAUGAACGAGUCGCCGGAAUCCUCAUAUCUGCAACAAACCUUAUUGAUUUAAAUCUGUACUCAUACUCACAGUUUUGAUUCUGGAGGUCAUAGAUCUAGCCCUGAAGUUGAUCAACCCUAUCAUAGAGCCUUGAGAGGUGUUUCCCAAUAUCAAUGGCAUCCAUCUUGUGAUUGCUAGUGAAUUAUGUGAUCAUCGUGUGGUUGGCAUUGAGUCCACGCUCCACCAUCCUUUGGCACGUGAAGACUUGUUGCUCCAUUGCUUCGAGCCUCGUCUCCAUGCUUCCGGUCUUCUUAGGCCCCUCAACAUCACGGAUGUGCAACAUACCCUCGCUCAUCUUGAUAGAUUGAGGGUGUUUCAGCACUUCCGUGAGGUAGGGAUUGAUGACCUUCUCAAAGAUCUUGUCCUUAGGAGCAUUUGGGGAAGUCAUGAUGAUCUAGAUCUGUCAUAGAAACAGGCUCGAAACGAAAACAGAGGAAAACUACGUGAUAUGGAGAUCAAAACCUUCGGCAAACUAUAUAUUGAUUUUUUCUGGGCCAGAAGGAGUCCUCCGCAAGAAAACGGAGUCCGGGAGGCACAUGAGGUGCCCACAAGCUUGCCCACCGCCACCAGGGGGGUGGUGGCAGAGUGGGGCCUUGUGGCUGCCUCGUUCGCUCUCCGGACUGCUUUUUAUUUUUCUAAUUUUCCAAAAAUUCCAAAACUGAGGAAAUUUCUAAUUGGAAAAGUAUCGGAGUCCAAUUUCUUGCCGAAACAGAUACAUCUUCGUUUUCAAGGUCUGAAACAGGUCGAUAAACAUCCCUUAUGCACUCCUCUGGAGUUAUGACAUUGAUGAUAUUCGUCUCAACCUUUAUGGGAGUACCAGAGAUGUAAUGCUUGAUUCUUUGCCCAUUUACCACUCUAGGAAAAUUUCCUUCCGUGUUAUUGAUUUUGAUGGCACCGGAAUGAUAUACUUCCUCGACAACAUAGGGACCUUCCCAUUUAGAGAGAAGCUUGCCUGCAAAGAAUCUCAAACGAGAAUUGUAUAGCAAGACAUAAUCACCUACGUUGAACUCACGUUUCUGUAUUCGUUUGUCGUGCCAUCUCUUAACAUUUUUCUUGAACAACCUGGCAUUCUCGUAUGCCUGGGCUCUCCAUUCAUCUAACGAGAUGAUAUCAAACAACCGCUUCUCACCGGCAAGUUUGAAAUCAAAGUUGAGCUCUUUGAUUUCCCAAUAAGCUUUGUGUUCCAGCUCAAGAGGUAAAUGACACGCCUUACUGUAAACCAUUUUAUACGGUGACAUGCCCACGGGAUUCUUAUAAGCAGUCCUAUAAGCCCAUAGUGCAUCGUUGAAAGUGCGUUAUAUCGACUAGGGGGGGGGCGGGUGAAUAGGACAUUUUUAGAAUUUCAUCACUGAGGAAAUUCCUUUUGAGGAAAUUCCUCACUGAUGACUAACUUACAGCGGAAAUAGUUAAGGAUCAGUCGUGNNNNNNNNNNNNNNNNNNNNNNNNNNNNNNNNNNNNNNNNNNNNNNNNNNNNNNNNNNNNNNNNNNNNNNNNNNNNNNNNNNNNNNNNNNNNNNNNNNNNCUCCUCCAUAUGCAUAUCAUUUUCAUGCUCAAGCAGAUAUUGCUCUAAAGGAUCCGUAGGAGGUACGGCAAUAAAGGCAAGAGCAAUGAUUUCAUCUCUACCAGACGACUCUCUUUCAUGGGUUUGUCUUCCAAACUUGGAGAAGUUAAAUUCAUGAGACACACCCUCGAAACUUACUGUGACAGUCUGCUUAAUGCAAUCAAUGUUAGCCUUGACAGUGUUGAGAAAGGGUCUAUCGAAUAUGAUGGGACAAAAGCUAUCUUGUGCAGUACCAAGGACGAGGAAAUCCGUAGGAUACUUCGUCUUACCAAACAGGACUUCUACGUCUCUCACAAUUCCCAGAGGGUAGAUAGUGUCUCUAUUAGCUAGCGUAAUAGUGACAUCAAUGGGUUCUAACUCAGUAGGUGCAAUCUCAUCUUUGAUUUCAUCAUAUAGAGAACGGGGUAUUGCACUAACACUAGCUCCCAUAUCACAUAAACCAUGGUAACAGUGAUCUCCUAUCUUAACAGAAACAACGGGCAGGCCAACUACAGGUCCGUGUUUGUCUUCCACGUGAGGUUUAGCAAUUCUAGCGGAGUCCUCACAGAAUUUGAUAACAUGCCCGUCUAUGUCUUCGGCUAAGAGAUCUUUGAUAAUAGCAACACUAGAUUCAACUCUAAUCUCCUCAGGGGGUGCAAGUGAUCUAAUGUAACCCCUACGUAUCAUAGUUGGAGCUUUAGAAUAAUCCUUUAUCCUAGCAGGGUAUGGUGGUUUCUCAGUGUAAGCACAAGGAACAACAGGAUCACUAAAAGCUAUGAUUUUUUCCUCAACUAGAUUGGUUUUGUCUAUGUUGAUUUCUACAGGAGGAUGAUAUUUAAAUCACUUCUCUUUGGGAAGAUCAACAUGAGCAAUAGAAGAUUCACAUAGAGAAGCUACUAUCUCAGAGUCAAGUCCAUACUUAGCGCUAAAAUCUCUAGAAGUGUUUGUCUCACAAAAGAUUUAACGCAAUCAAACUGGAAAUUCAUACCUAACUCCUUACCUUCCUCCAGCUCCCAAUCUUCAGAGUUGCGUUUGAUUCUCUCCAAUAAAUUCCACUUGUGAUCAAUAUCCUUCUUCCUAAAAGAACCGGCACAAGAAGUGUCAAGCAUGAUACGAUCUUCAUGAGAAAGCCGAGCAUAAAAGUUUUGAGUGAUGAUUUCUCUCGAGAGCUCAUGAUUGGGGCAUGAAUAUAGCAUUGAUUUAAGACUCCCCCAAGCUUGAGCUAUGCUUUCCCUGUCACGAGGCAAAAAGUUAUAAAUAAAGUUCCGAUCACGAUGUACUAAAUGCAUAGGAUAGAACUUUUGAUGAAAUUCCAAUUUCAACCGAUUGUAGCCCAUGAUCCAGUAUCACAUAGACUAUACCAUGUCAACGCCUUAUCCUUCAAAGAUAAAGGAAAUACUUUCUUGUUUACCUCAUCCUCGGGCAAACCUGCAAGCUUAAAUAAACCACAAACUUCAUCUACAUAGAUUAGAUGCAAGUUUGGAUGUGAAGAUCCAUCUCCUGUGAAAGGAUUAGCCAGCAGUUUCUCAAGCAUACCCGAAGGAAUUUCAUAAAAGAUAUUUUCAGUAGGUACCUCAGGUUGAGGAACAACCCCUCGUGCUUUCGUUCGUGGUGAAGAUACCCCGAACAAACUCCUCAAAGAAACAGUUUCCAUAGUGACAAGUGACAAUAAAUUUCAGCACAAUAUAUAAAUGUUUCCUUACCAAUUUCCACUUACUAAAGGCCCUGCACUCCCCGGCAACGGCGCCAGAAAAGAGUCUUGAUGACCCACAAGUAUAGGGGAUCAAUCGUAGUCCUUUCGAUAAGUAAGAGUGUCAAACCCAACGAGGAGUAGAAGGCUCUGUUAAACGGAUUUCAGCAAGUUAUAACUGCAAGCACUGAAAGUAGAGGUAACAAGUGAUUGUGUAGCGAGGUGAAACGUAGCAAGCAAAGAGUAACAAGUAACAAGUAGUAGAAACGGUGCAGCAAGUGGCCCUAUCCAUUUUGUAGCAAGGGACAAGCCUGAACAAAGUCUUAUAGAACGAAAAACGCUCUCGAGGACACACAGGAAUUUCUGUCAUGCUAGUUUCAUCAUGUUCAUAUGAUUCGCGUUCGUUACUUUGAUAGUUUGAUAUGUGGGUGGACCGGCGCUUGGGUACUGCCCUUACUUGGACAAGCAUCCCACUUAUGAUUAACCUCUCUCGCAAGCAUCCGCAACUACAAAAGAAGAAUUAAGACAAAGUCUAACCAUAGCAUUAAACUAGUGGAUCCAAAUCAGCCCCUCACGAAGCAACGCACAGACUGGGGUUUAAGCUUCUGUCACUCCAGCAACCCAUCAUCUACUUACUACUUACCAAUGCAUUCCUCAGGCCCAAAUAUGGUGAAGUGUUAUGUAGUCGACGUUCACAUAACACCACUAGAGGAAAAAUAACAUACAACAUAUCAAAAUACCGAACGAAUAUCAAAUUCACAUGACUAUUAUUAACAUGACUUAUCCCAUGUCCUCAGGAACGACAGUAAAUACUCACAAGACAUACUCAUAAUCAUGCCCAUAGGUGUAAUGAAUAGCAUCAAGGAUCUGAACAUAAACUCUUCCACCAAGUAAUCCAACUAGCAUCAACUACAAAGAGUAAUCAACACUACUAGCAACCUNNNNNNNNNNNNNNNNNNNNNNNNNNNNNNNNNNNNNNNNNNNNNNNNNNNNNNNNNNNNNNNNNNNNNNNNNNNNNNNNNNNNNNNNNNNNNNNNNNNNAGUUAAGGAUCAGUCGUGCAAACGUUCACCACAGCAGUGUUACAGAGUGAAGAUUAUGAAAACAGAUUGCACAGUAAGCAGGCACGCAGAAUACAGAUGAUGAUUAACUCAAGUGAAGAAUUUGGGGUUGAGGAAAUUCAGAUAAAGUCUUCAGCAAAUUCUUCAAACAGUCACAGUGAAAGUCAUCAACACAUAAUACAGAGAAUGUAAAGAGUUGAGGAAUUAGAGCCCGAUUCUUGGUGAAGACUGUUGUUGAUGACCCAGUUCCAACUGCUGUGACAGUUGUACAUCUGGUUUGGAGCGGCUUGGUAUUGAAACCAAAGGACACCCAGUCCCGGGACACACAGUCCCUACCGUAUUCUCCUUGAGCUAAGGACACACAGUCCUCGCCCAACACUCGUGGUAAGUCUUCAGGGCAGACUUCCAAACCCUCAUAAACUCGGUCACCCGACGAUCCACAAUUGACUGCUGGAUUGCUCUAGACCAUGACGCCUAACCGUCUGGAGGAUGCACAGUCCUCAAAGGUAAAAGGCUUCACUCCCACACAGGAACAACUUCUUCAGUGAUGCUCAAUCACUAGGUUUGGUUUGUGGUUUCGGUGGGUGGUGUAUUUCCUCACUGAUGAUUUACUCUCGAAGGCUCUGAGGAAUUUGGGUUGCUCUUAUGACAAGUGUCAGUUUCUAACAGAGCAUCCAACCAGCUAGUGGUUGUGGGGGGCGGCUAUUUAUAGCCUGGGAGCAUCCCGACAUGAUUUGACACUAAUGCCCUUAAAUAAUAUGACCGUUGGAGUGGAUAAGACCAGUGACUUGGCGUGGCUAUCGAAACGGUCGGGACCCUCAACUGUGAGAGUCCUCAUGUCACUCAUAUUCCUCACUUGAGGCUUUUGGUAGGAUUUGGCUUGGGUUGAGCAUCAUGAGGAAAUCCAUUCCAUAGUGUUACUUUGACCCCCUUUAACAGUACGGUGUUCCUAUUCAUCAAUUGCAAAGAAAGUAAAACAGAAAACGUAAAUCUUCACGCUUCAAUUUCUUCCGAAAGAUUUUCUUCAGGAACCACCGAUCUUCUCAAUAUCAAUAUCUUCAUGAGGAAUAUCAAUUUCAUCGCAGAUUCCUCGCGAUUCAUUUCUUCAGCUUCAGACCAAUUUNNNNNNNNNNNNNNNNNNNNNNNNNNNNNNNNNNNNNNNNNNNNNNNNNNNNNNNNNNNNNNNNNNNNNNNNNNNNNNNNNNNNNNNNNNNNNNNNNNNNUACCUGGUGCGUCAUUAGUAUACCAGAUACUAAUGGCGCACUUGUAAUGCGCCAUUAGUAAAAAAAUCUAAUGGCGUGAUGCUAGUGGCGCACCUAUAGUGCGCCAUUAGUAGCAAAAAAUGGUGCGCCAUUAGAAGGCCUUUUCCUAGUAGUGAGCUGCCCUCCAUGCUUGGGCUUCUUCCUCUUGUGCAAAAGCAAAAUCAAAGCAAUGUCUUCUUCAUCCUCCAAAUCGUAUUCCCCAUCGGAUGAAUCCUCAAUCAAAACCAUCUACAAACAAACUAGACCGUAUUAAAAAGUGUAAUCCUAAACUACAAACACAAAAAGCAAACAAAAAGUUGAAUACACAUUACCUCGAACACCUU
rnacentral:lncRNA from 1 species